rnacentral:lncRNA from 1 species
AUAGAUAUGAGGAUAGAAGAUAAUGCAGCAUCUCGAUCAACACCGUAAGCCACCAUCUAGUCCAGAAAGGUAGAAAUCGACAACAAGAUUGAUCGAUGGCCGGUGCGCGCGCUGGCGGGUCGUUCCUCGCCGUCACCCUCGUGGUGGUGGUGGUGGCCGCAUCAUCCAUGCCGGUGGUCAAGGGGGAUGACAAGUCUGCUUGCGUCGGCGAGUACUCCAAGCUCUGCGGCAACAAGGACCCCGCGUGCACCACCAUGGUCGAGACGACCUGCCACGAUGAUGCCGACAGCGUCAAGGCCAUCAAGGGCAUGUUCGACGAGCUGGCCAAGGUCGGUGGAGACAACUAUGAUUAUGCUUCUACGGCAAUGUCGUGGGGGCACGUUGCUCUCGGCCAUGCCGUCGACGAGCAUGGGGCCUGCCCCGGCAACAAGACGGUCGGAGAUUUUGCCGGCGAGCACUGCAUCCCGGACCUCGACGCGGCAUGCAAGGAUCCCAGCUGCAGCGACGGAGCUUACAUCGAAUGCGGCGGUGCGGCGUCGAGAUUCUGCUACAUCAAGGCCACCCCCGCCGACAAGAAAGCCAUACAGCAAAACUUGAAAUGCUUCAAGGAGUGUUUAGCGCAGAAGAAGAAAAGUGAAGACUGCAUCCUCCACAACAAUGAAAAGUGUCCGGCCGCUUGAAAAAUGAAAAUGCAUGCAUGCAUUCCUUCCUUCCUUCCUUCCUUGUACUUGAGGCAGGGUGUUUCCUUCAUUUCAGAGUGCCUCAUUCAUGCAUGUUUGUUUUCACAUGCGCGUGUUUUCAUCUCAUUUUGUUGUUGCUUUUUUUUGUUCAACAUUUAUUUUGUCUGUUUUUUUUUGUUGCGAAAAUAAAAUUCAUUUUGUUGUUGCUCUUCUUGGAGAGGCCAUAAAGAAAGAGUGGUAUAUAAUUUUUGGAUCAUCUCUAACCUCACGUUACAUUUUGCUAGCUAGCUACUCCUAUAGAUGUGUUUGCAUGUUGGCAGAGUUUCUUACCUUGGUGCAUGCGCGAGUGGCACAAAAUCUUCUCUUGCUGCAUGUUUUCUUUGGGGGGUCAGAAGAAGAUGAUAGAAAGGAGAAAAGCAAACUCGUAUGUCCUCUUUUGUGUACUUGUCUUGUGACCUGUGAAAUGGUUUAUUUAUUUAUUUCGCGGGUGCAAAUGAAUUGGGAGAGCUGAGACCCGAGAGACUCAGCUCCAAUAUUGCCAAGGUUCAGAGACGCCAUGACCGGCAAUAGAUUGUUUUCUCCAAUAAAUUACUACCGGGAAAUGAUUAUAUGACGAGUGAGUGCGUACCUUCGAGCACUCGGUGAAGGCCACCUAAACCGAGUGCAUAUAAAAAAUAUAGACCAUGUUUGUAGAAAAAACUACCAAAAAAUACAAUGCUAAUUCGAUAUAAUUUUGAAAGUGCAUUCUAUGAUGUAUUUAAGGAUAACUAAUUUGGUUUUGUGUAUGUUGAUAGUUUCCGUAUAAACUUGAACAAACUUUAAAAUUUCUUUCCCAAAUUUCAAUCUCUCGGGACAAAACAGCGGAAGUAAUACUACAAUAGGAACACUGAAAGAAAGUAAGUACAGGCACACAAAGACAAAUAGGCUAAACCAGUACGACUAAGCAAAACUUUCGAUGAAAGCGAUGAUAAUCUUCCUAGUGUAGUGGUAGAGAACUUUCGUGACAACAAUGGUCACACAGAAAGGAAACAACACAAACACCAUGGAGGACAAUAUGACGAAACAGAUCACGAUACUAAAUACACCUUACUAAGAAAUGUUCAUCAGAGCAUACCUCAGCUGAAUAACAAAGUAGCACAAGAGAAUCAAGAGACGAGCAUACAGACAAACUAUCUUAAGCUCGGCAAAUUGAAAUACACUGAACAACAUAGUCAUGCUACACAUAAUAAACAGAGGAAGAUAUAUUAUCACAAUUAUCUAUCGGGACAAAGAGUGUAGAAGAUAAACUACUAAAAGAACUGCAGUAGAGUAAUCAAUGGUGCGCAAAGAUGACAGAUGGUUUGGUAGACCAGUUCACUCUUCUGCAAAAGAAUUGUGGCUGGUUGGAGGGACUUGGGAUUCAACCCAGAAGAUAAACUAUCUCCGUUCUAUUCUCCUUCAACGUGAUGUUGAUCAGUGAUCAGACUUCAGUUGAAUCCACUUGGUUAGCAGAGGAGGACGGUACAUCAUAUGAGCAUGGUUGCAGAGGAGGACGGUACAUCAUAUGAGCAUCAAGAGACCAAGAAGUGAUCCAUGAUCUGGCACAUGCAAGUUCCAUCUAAACUCAAGGUUUUCGUUUGGCGGCUAGCUCGUCAUUCCAUGCCAACGGGCUCGGUCCUCAAACACCGUCUCAUGGCAACAGAGGAUACUUGCUUGUUUUGCGGGGCUGUUGACACAUGGAAACAUGCGCUUAUUUCAUGUCCGAUGGCAGCAAGUGUUUGGGCGUUGGCUCCAGAAGAGUUGGUCCAACAUAUGGUUGAGCGCGAGGAAGAUGGUCCGAAGGAGUGGCUGUUUUCAUUGCAUGAAAUAUUGACGAAGGAUCUUUUCGAUCGACUGGUGGUGAUGCUCUGGGCACUUUGGUAUGAGAGACGCAAGGCAAUUCAUGAGAACAUAUUUCAUUCACCAUACUCUGUUAACAGCUUCAUAUCAAAAUAUUUGGACGAGCUACAAGUGAUCCACAACAGGCAACCAUCGAAGCCCCCUCCUACCAGCGCCCGACCAGCGAGAUGGCUUGCCCCGCCAUCAGGCAACGCGAAGUUCAACGUCGAUGUAGCGGUAACCAGAUAUGGUGGGGCAGUUGGGGUCAUUUGUAGAGAUGACAGAGGUAUGUUUAUGGGAGCUUAGACUCUUUCUUUCAGAUACAUUGUGGAUCCCCCGACUUUGGAAGCCCUAGCCAUCAAAGAAGCACUCGCAUUGGCGGAUGAUCUCUACUUGAGGCGCAUCCAAGUUGCAUCGGACUGCAAAACGGUGGUGCAAGACAUACAUAAGGAGAAUUUGGCAAGUUAUGGAGCAGUUAUUCAUGAGAUAGUCGAACAUUCUUUAGCCUUUGAUUUAUUUAAUUUCAGUCAUGAGUUUAGGAGCUCAAAUUUUGAAGCACACAACUUCGCGAAGCAUGCUUUAUCUCUCGGUGGUGGCCGCCAUGUUUGGUUAGGGCAUCCCGGGAAUUUACCAUCCGUCCAUGUAAAUAUUGUGACGACUUAAUAAAAGCUUCGUGAUGUUGCCUCAAAAAAAAGUUGAAUCCACUUGGGAUAGAUCCUUAUCGGCGAUCUCCAAACCUUCGAUAAACUUGCUUCGCGAACCACAAUUAUUCUUGGUUGUUGGAAACUUGGCUUGAAAACAAUUAUUCUUUGACACUUAAGUUGACACCUAUUCAUCUAAAGAGUGUGCAACUCUGAAGAGUAAUAGGUAUAAGAACUCCCAACUCGAAUGUACUGUGAUGCUCAACCACUAUGUAAUAGCAUAAUCUGCACCCAACACAUCUAUGCUAAGCACCAAAUUUGGCAUGUAUGCAGCUCUAAUGGCUCAUGACCUCACAAUCAUAUUGAGGGCAUGUUCGACGAGCUUGCCACGGUCGGUGGAGACAACUAUAGUUUCGCUUCUACGGCAUGGCCGCGGGGNNNNNNNNNNNNNNNNNNNNNNNNNNNNNNNNNNNNNNNNNNNNNNNNNNNNNNNNNNNNNNNNNNNNNNNNNNNNNNNNNNNNNNNNNNNNNNNNNNNNNNNNNNNNNNNNNNNNNNNNNNNNNNNNNNNNNNNNNNNNNNNNNNNNNNNNNNNNNNNNNNNNNNNNNNNNNNNNNNNNNNNNNNNNNNNNNNNNNNNNNNNNNNNNNNNNNNNNNNNNNNNNNNNNNGGAUGAGCAUGGGGCCUGCCCCGGCAACAAGACGGUCCAAGAUUUUGUCGGUGAGCACUGCAUCAGUGACCUCAAUGCGGAAUGCCAGGAUCUGAGUUGCACCGACGACGCUUACAUCGAAUGCUACCAAACAGCCACGAGAUUUUCCUAGAUCAAGGCCGCCCCUGCCGACAAGAAAGCCAUACAGGAAAACAUGGAUUGCUUCAAGCGCUCUUGCGUAAAGAAGAAGAAAAGUGAAGAGUUCCGUAAAGUAUGCAUCGUGAUGCAUGGCUCCUCGUAGCCCGGCCGUUUGAAAAUGCAUGCAUUCCUUGUAGCGGUGCUUCAUUCAUGUUUUCACAUGCAUGUGUUCAUCUCAUUUUGUUGUUGCUCUUCUUGGAAAAUCAAUAAAGAAAGAGUGGUAAACCUUGUACGAGCUUGGUGAGGAAUAGUUUUUUUUCUUUGAUAUAUCACUAAAGGCAUAGCCUAGUGGUGGGGAGGGGUUGAUGCCUUCCCACCCACCCAGGUUUAAGGCAUGGUACUUGUAAUUUGGGUUUGUUGCACCAAUUAUAUUGUAGGGGUUCUCUUACAGUCUUUCUAUCAAAAAAAACUAUAUCUGUGAAGUGAUAUGUGGUGAAAACAACGUUGAGUACAGGGCAGUGGCGACAUCUCCACCCUUGGCUAAACCUAAAACAAUGAUAGCAACUAUAGAUGUGCAUUCAUUAAAAAAAAUUGGUCGCAUAGAUAGGAAAAGAAACCUAGAAUGAUGUGGUUGCUUGAGAGGGCAAAAAAAUAGUUAAUCUUUAUCUUUACCUAAUAUUAAAGGAAGGAUUGUUUCUUCAAUUUUUUUGGUUUAUGGUGGGACCCAGAAAAUUUUCGUACGUCGCAGGUGUUUUCUCGUGCGAGCGUUUUAUCGUUCUCCCGAUUCUUUUCUGUCGAACAAAAAUCACAGGACGCACAGAGCCGUACCCCGCCAGUAAAAAAAAUCUGGCCCAUUAGCGUACUAACAGCCCGCGCCAGUAAAAAAAUUUCCAAAAAAAAUACUGCGUUGCUAGGAAUCGAACACACUCGCUCACGCAGGAGCGGUCACAAUGCAAGCAACUAGAUUAAACAAGUGUUUGUGUUUAAUUAGCAGCGCAAAUUUUAAAUUAAGCUCACAGUCAUGCGAAAUACUGAGAGGAAAAUAUUUGUUUUAAUGGAACUUGGUGAAUUUUUGAAAUAUGCCUACUUGAUGCAUUAUUUUAGUUUAAUUUAUUAAACUAGGGAUAAGGAAGGAAUCUUUUUCUCUGCCGCGUCUUCACGUACGACCAGUCUCACUUGGCCCAGUGACUCCCGUCAAAAUGCAUGAGGAGUCCAACUAAGAUUUCAUGCACUGGUGGAAAAAGGGCCUUUGGUCGCGGUUCGCAACUGCCAUUAGUCGCGNNNNNNNNNNNNNNNNNNNNNNNNNNNNNNNNNNNNNNNNNNNNNNNNNNNNNNNNNNNNNNNNNNNNNNNNNNNNNNNNNNNNNNNNNNNNNNNNNNNNNNNNNNNNNNNNNNNNNNNNNNNNNNNNNNNNNNNNNNNNNNNNNNNNNNNNNNNNNNNNNNNNNNNNNNNNNNNNNNNNNNNNNNNNNNNNNNNNNNNNNNNNNNNNNNNNNNNNNNNNNNNNNNNNNNNNNNNNNNNNNNNNNNNNNNNNNNNNNNNNNNNNNNNNNNNNNNNNNNNNNNNNNNNNNNNNNNNNNNNNNNNNNNNNNNNNNNNNNNNNNNNNNNNNNNNNNNNNNNNNNNNNNNNNNNNNNNNNNNNNNNNNNNNNNNNNNNNNNNNNNNNNNNNNNNNNNNNNNNNNNNNNNNNNNNNNNNNNNAAUAUAUAUUCAAUAUCAUCGGAUGACCAUAUACAAUUUUGAACAAGUUUCCAUACAUGAUUUAAUGCAUAUAAAGUUCUACGUCCUCGUAAUAGUGUUCUCCUUUAGGAUGGAGGACUUCCCUGCUGAACCAUCCAGCUAGUUCCUCUUGAAGUGGUCGGAAGCGAGCUUCUGGACUAAGCAUCCACCGGAGGUUAUUCCUCUGAGCAUUGGUAUCACUCGGAACCCGCUCAGAGGUGUAUCUCCGGAUCAUCUCACAGACAUAGUAUCCACAUAGAUUGGUCUCCGGUGGCUGAAUAUCCCCAGCAUUCUUAGCCUUUAACAUUUUGAAUUCUAGCUCUUUUUUGAAUUCACCGACCUUUGUAUCUACGAACCGUCUCCAAACCCUACGAGGCAAAGAAAAUUAAAUGAACAAGAGAGUUAUUAAUUAGUUACUUGAUAUUAGGAAAUGAACGAAAUAGGCCGAUCGAUAUAGAGCGGAAAUGAAUGAAAAUAAUUACUUCUGCAGCAUUCUUCUCAUGCCGCCCCAAAGCUUUGGAUCCAUAUUCACAGAGUCGUGGACGAGACAUUCUAAGGUGUUAACUUUAAUUACUAGCAGAAUCCAGUGGAACCUGCGGACACGAUACAUGCACAGUACGUCAUGCAUAACUCAUCGAUUAGCCGGCCACAUACCAUGCAUGGAGUAAACAAAAGAGAAUGUGCUCAAGACAGAAACACUCACUCAAAAUGGUAAGGAAAUAGAAUAUCACUUUUGAGUUCCUGCUUUGUAAGAAACUGCCACAGGUCUGCCUCCACGUCGGCGGGGUAACGCUUCAACACAUGUCCAUUAACGAUGUGUGGGUCAAUGAACCCAACAUCAUGGAUGUUCCUUACUCUGCAUUCCUUAAUCUUCAUUCUGCAUGUAUAAUAGCGGACACAACAAUAUAGUUAGGACAUAUAUAUAGUGCAGGCAAUAUGAACGAGAUGGGGUAGAAAUUAAUAAAUCACUUACAGAACGUAGCAACUGAUGAUAGAUUUAUCGAGCUCGCGCAGAUUGAAAAGCUGGAACAAUUCACUCAGUUCAAUUUGUACAUAGUAAUGUUUGAAGUGAUGCUCAUGUCUAACUUCCGCAUAAAUAUAUUCAUUGGCGUUUUUAUUUUUUAUGUAACCCUUGUACCAUUUCAGCAGACCUUUCAUUUGUGGAGGUAGAUCAUUUUCCUGCGCAGGCUCGACGAGAGGCCCAUUCUUGACAUAUGUAAUUACUACCUCCUUCACUGGCGCCUCAUCAAGGCCUAACAGUUCACGAAGAGUAAUACCUAAGUUGGCCGCUUGUUCUCUGGCACUCGUUACAGUCAAUCCCUGUGCUGCCGCAGCUUGUAUGAUCUCGGGGGCAUCCGGACAGAAGGCUUCCACUAUAAGCGGGGCAAUCGAUUGUUUACUUUGUUCCCCGAGCUGGGCAACUUGUUUCCCGCUUUUUUUACUUUCGGCCUUCUCCCGCUCUUUGUUCUCCUUGAACAUGAGUGCCUGCCUGCGAAGUUCACGUGCAUAGUCGUUAGGCAGAUUCUUCGCGGCUUGGGACGGUGUGCUCAAAAAUGACUUAGCCCACUUCUUUUGCUCAUCAGAAAAUACUGGCUUGGGCUCGGGCUCUCUUUUCUUCUUGCAGUCCGCUUUCCAUUUCUCCAAAUCAGCAGCCGCGGCCGCGUCGACUUCCUCGGCACUACGUUCCCAAGGCCUUGUGGGGAGAGGCUUCAGUGAUGGCUCCGGUACCUUUGUGGUCUUAGGUACAUAAGGGUCCGGGUUAAUAAUCCAAGACUGCUUCUGCUUCUUUGUCGGAGGUGGAUUGGGGGGCGGCGUCUGAUCACCCGCCGGACGAGGACUGGGGGGCGGCGGCUGAUCACCCGCCGGACAUUGUGGACUGGGGGGCGGCGUCGGCUGACGUGACGGAGGUGUAGGUGAACCGCCACCACCACCACCACCACCACCACCGCCACCGCCACCACCACCACCGUAGGGGGGUGGACUUGCUGUCCUUGGCGCCUCGCCUGGAAACUUGAUAAACUUCUUUUGCCAUAGAAUGAAAUGGCGCUUGACAUCUCCAAGUCUUUUCUCCCCUUCAGGUGUAGCAAUGUCAAUCUCCAGGUCCUCAAACCCUUGGACUAUGUCCUCCACCGUGACACGAGCAUAGCCAUCUUGAAUGGGGUUGUUGUGGUGGAGUGCUCCAGGUAAACAUGGUAAAGCACUGCCGAUGGCUACCUUCAUGGAAAUAUAUAAUUAACCAUCAUGCAUUUGUUAAACUAACUAGCUACAAACAAUAUAAAUUAAACAAUGAACUGCACACAUGCAUAUUUUAUCAAUGACACACAUGCAUGAAAGGUUCAAGUUGCUAACCGCGAUCGAGGAGGAAAAAAUAAAUGAGGAACCUCAAGUGUGGCUCCAACACUUCAUAUCAUGUUUGUUUCACCCUCUUAGGGCAUUUCAUCAAACACCUUGUGUGCAUAAGAGGAACCAAAAGCAAACCUACACCCCCUUGUGAAGCUUGUGAAGAGAAGUGGCACCAAAUGGCUAAGUGAGCGUGCUGAACUGGUAUAUAUAGGGGAGGAGCUUUAGUCGCGGUUGGCCUGGCCAACCGCGACUAAAGGCCUUUGCGCACCUUUAGUCGCGGUUGGCCUGGCCAACCGCGACUAAAGCCCCUCACGUGCACCAGCUGGCCACCGAGCGCCCUGGGCCCAGGCCUUUGGUCGCGGUUCGUCUGCCGAACCGCGACUAAAGACUUCAUUAGUCGCGGUUCCUACAGUUUCGCGACUAAUGGGGCUGGACGGAAGCCUCUUUUUCUACCAGUGAUGGUCUAUUGGCACAAACUACUCAAUUUACAUGGUGACACCGACAUAUAUUAUGUGUAGUGCUUCUCUCUAUUAUAUUAGCCCGAUGAUAAAAAAAAAUAUUUUGUUCAAUGCUCUUGCUCUUCCCCGGACACGAAGAUGGCUGAACAAUCCAACUAUUGGACCUGGCCAACCUUAGUUAGGGACAACUGGUAUUGCGACCACCGACAACGAGGACGGCAAAGACGACAAGCGAAAACAUGUGUCUGGUGUUAGAUGAAAUGGAGGAUGUUGACCUGAGGAUGAGGUAUUAGUCAUGUUUAUUAUGUUAUGGGCAUGAGGGUGAUGUCUUUGGCCAUGCUUAGUGGGUAAAGGGCGUGUGAGGGUUGUUUUCUCCCGUUGCAAUGCACGGGCAUGUUUGCUAGUGGUUAUUUAUGAUAGGUUGCAUGCACAUGAAGAGUUAGUGGGAGCAUGUGCAUAAAGAGUUACUUGGAAAGAGUUUUUACAUGGUGGGCCUACUUGAUGAUGUGGAUAGAUUCCAUGUUAAGAUAAUAACAUAGCGGGGUGAAUCUCUUAGGUAUAUAGGAAUUGCAAUCCUAUUUUUUAUUAUAUUUUUAGAAGUACACUCUAUGAUGUAUUUACAUAUAACUAAUAUGGUAUUCUGUUUGUUGAUAGUUUUCAUAUAAACUUGUACGUAUGUCUUCUUUUCAAACACGGCAGAAAAUUUUGCAUUCUCCUUUUUUCGCCAUUCUAAGAGCAACGCCACAGCUCCCUUAAAAAUCUGCCCGUGAAACUGUUUUUCGGCCUUCCCUUAAAAGUUAGGGGAAGUUGUUUGUGAGCAACGUUUGUUAGUUACCCUAAACUUCUUACACUAAAUCCAUUUUUACUUUAUUUUUAAUUACACAAAAAAUAAACAAUUUCCUAGAACCCGCCAGUUGGUGACACACAAGAUGGUAGGUGAUGUGGUGGCCACCAGCGACUGAGGCGGCGUGGCGGGGAUGCAAGCGUGCCGGGUGACGGUGGCAGUUUCCAACAACAUCUGCGGGAAGUUGAGGCAAAAAAAGUCGGGAUCAUAUAAAGUUGUGGCCACUUUAGGAAAACUGUUGAAGAGGUAUUUUUGCCCAACUUCCCGUAAACACUGAUUAUUUUAGAGAAAACGUUUUAUACGGUCGACCGGCCCAGCAUUUUGUCGGUCGCCUCGCUCGCGUCGCUAGGCAGCCACUACUAGAAAAUAUCUUAUAGAUAGCACUUUAACAGUAGCGUGGGAUAAUAAGAAACUGCUACUACUAUUUAGCAGUAGCGCUUGUCUAAAACCAGCGCUACAGGUAAGUCUAUAGCAGUAGCGCGUGAUGUCCACCCAGCGCUGCUGAUAAGUGGUCCCACCUUACCCACUGAGACUACCCGUAGUAGCAGCGUGUCCCGAAAAUACCCUCGCUACUGCUAAUCAUGUAGCAGUAGCGCGGGCACCUAGCCCAGCACUGCAACUAUGGUUAUAAUCUGCCAGCUGGUGGGCCUCGCUUAUCAGCAGGGUGGUGUAUUUCGCCAACGCUAAAGGUAUUGGGCUUAGCAGGCGCGAGCCUUGUACCGAGCGCUACUACUAACCUAAGCUUAUGCCCACCCUGCCGUCUAUUUCCUCGACUCAUUAGUCUUUCUCCUCACUCUCUCUCGCGCUUUCCUCUCCUCGCCGUCGCCCACUGCUGCUGACGCUCCCUCCUCCCUCGGUAGCUCUCCCUCCCUCCUCUCUUCAUCCCUUCCUCCCUCCCUCCCUCUGUUCUUCCCUCCCACCCUCUGUUCUUCCACUAAAUAGGUAGAAUGGUAGUAGGCAGUAGUGUGGUAGAUAGGUAGAAUUUGAUCGUUGAAUGUAUGUUUUUUGAAUAAAAUAGAACAUAUAGUUUAUAUGAAUAGAAUGUAGGUAUUCUGAUAGAAUAAAAUAAAAAAUAUAGGUAGAAUGGAGGUUUCUUAAAUAGAAAGAUAGGUAGAAUUUUGCUGUAGAAUGUAGAUACAAAGUUUUAGUAAUAUAAAAUUUUCUAUUAUAGAAAUGUAUUGGAAUGCUUUAUGACAAAUUUUUAGGUAUCAAAUUUAGUAAUAGGAAUUUUUAGUAAGAAAAUUUACGUACAGAAAUUUUAGUAAUCUUUUUUAAAUAUAGAAAUGUGCUAGGACAAUUUAAUUAUUUUUAUGUCAUUAUCACUUUGUCAUCAAAGAAUUCUAUACGAGAUUUGAUGAUCAAAUUUUUUUCACUUGGUGGAAUAUGCAGGCUUUGUAGUGUCGCGUCUCCCUAGAGUGAUUGUCGUCGGAGCUCCGUCUACCUCUACACUUGAGUAGGUGAGCUAAAAGUCCACCUCCUCCGUCUGUUGUCCUCGGACAUGAGUAUGAUGAUAUUUGGACAUGUAUUGGUUGUCUCUUUGGACAUGUGGCCUAUGUUUGCAGGGAACACCUCUGAGUGGCCUUUGUUUUGCCGGAAUGUUGAUUCAUUUCCGUUCCGGCAAAUUUCAGGCGCUCGAUAUGUCUUGUUUUUAGCAAAGGUCAUCCCGAAGUUUUUCCGUGAAUUUUAACAUGACCUAUGCUAGAAUAUAGGAAAUAUCGAGUGCACUGGAUUUGCCGGAAUGUUGAUUAAACGACAUGUUGGGUUGACUUUCAGUAUGUCUGGAUCCAUAGAUGACGGUCAAAAAAUCAGUGAGGGAGGGUGUCCACCAUAGACGUGAGAAGAAGAAUGGCAAUUGUUGUCGUGGGGGUCGUUUCCUCUCCUUCUUCUCGUGAUAUACAUUAGUAACGCAUGAGAGAAGGAGGGGAAGCGACCAUCACCAACCGUCGAGAUAUCUAUGAGGGAGUGUCCACCAUAUACUAUCGAAAUAUGAGAGAGGAAGAAUCCUGACUGUUGUCGUGGGGUCGCUUCUUCUUCAUUCGAAGGUGCUAGACAUUUUGGUGUAAUGCACUUUCAAAUGAAAGUAGGAGCGACCAUCACCGACGAUCGCAAAUGUUAGAGACGAAGAAUCCCGACUGUUGACGUGGGGGUCGCUUCUCCUUCGUUUCCGUAUGCUAGACAUUUUGGUGUAAUACACUCGGGAACGAAGGGAGGAGCAACCAUCACCGACAGUCGAAUAUAUUAGAGAGGGAGUGACGGUGUCCUGAAUUAGGGGUACUCACCACCUCGACGGCAUAAAUCAGGUGUUAUGAUUUCAAUUCAAUCUAUUCUGCCUACAUCAGAUUUAUUUUGCCUGUAGUCUUGUACUAUUUUGUUUGCAGACCACUUUUGAUCUGGAGCGCCGCCGAGCGAUCAGAAUAUACUAGGCGUGCAUGUGUCAUGCAGCGGCGGCCUUGCCUCACUGGAGAUCAAGCAGAUGUAGUACACUACGGGAUGCCAAAUCAAGACAUCUCGUGAAGCGGCGGCCUGGCACUAAUUACCAGAUCAAUCAAAUCAUGAGGUUGCCCACUACUACUAGUACUCUCUUCGUCCGAAAAUACUUGUCUUAGAAAUGAAUAAGACGAAUGUAUUUAUAACUAAAAUAAGUCUAGAUACAACCAUUUGUAGGACAAGUAUUUUCGGACGGAAGGAGUACUAGUUAUGGCACAUCAAUCGGUUUUUGAUUGAUGCAAGCGUGCUAGUUUAAUCUGGCUACCUCUCACGCUGAAACCCUAGGUCCGCCGUAGAUCGUUUACACAUUAUAGCAGAGUAAAGCGUCCAUGGAAUACUAGCAAGGAAAGUCCUAAUUGUAACAAACUUUAGCACGCUUCUCCAUAUCUAAUGGAUGAAUAUCACCGCUUUUGUCCGGCUAUAUACUAAUCUGUCCAGAUUACUAAUUAAGCAUGCCUUUUCUUGAUCAUUGUUGUGAUCAUGUGGUGGCCUAACUAGCUUUCACUUGACCGGGUUCUCAUGGAGGCGCUCACAGCGGCCGGAGAGACGUGUCGUCAAAGAGAUUAGACGGGCAGACGCAUGCGCGGCAGCGCGUGCAUAGGGCUGCGGCGGCAGGUGAUCCAGCCGAAGAAAUCGUGCGCGUCGAAGAGACAGUGCAUGGCAGUGCACCGAUUAGAGCUCGGCUCGAUGCCAGCACACCACAGGGAGAUUUGUUUCUCACCCUUUGUUUUAAUUCAAUACCUACCUAGUCGACCGCCGGUUCUUCACUACUUUUGUUCACAAGUAUGCAUAACCAAAUUGCUACUAAUCAUUUUAGGUAGUACUAGUUUGGCAGCAUGUUCAUUACGGAUCAGUUUAUCUGUUUGCUUCAGUCCGCUAUGGUCGUCGCCGCGGGCGAACAGGUUUUAUUUUUCCAGACUACUCGGUUAGCAUUACUAUACACAAAAUAUUUCUGCUGGCUUGUAAUGCAUUAUUUUUGCGGAGAUAUUCUACCAACGCUCAUACGUAACGUUGGUCGGGCUACCCUUUCGCCGUCACCUCGGCCAGCCGACCUAUGUCGACAUCGACCUCGCGCCUGAUAAUCGACCUCGACCACGCCAUGCCGCCACCUUGGCGCCGUCGUUCCACAUGCGUUGACUAAGUUGUGACAUCGCCUUGGCGCGCCCCUCUAUGUCGCUGUCUCCGUGCGGCCACUCCACUGGGUAGUCGACCUCGGUUGCGUCACGUGUUCACUUCCGCGUCAUCCGGCCAACCUACUCCAUCUCCUCGGCUGGACCAGGGGCUUCGCCUCGCCGCAUCGACUGUGCUACAUCGCCACCUCGUCAAGUUGCAGCCACCUUGGAACCGGCUUGGGGGCUGGGACCUCGGAUAGUCCGAGGACUAUGCUCCAUGUCCGACCGGUCGAAGAUCAAUGGGCGUCUUCGUCCCACCACACGCCCGGACCGUGUCGUCAAUGCUGAGCACAUUAACCAGCUAAGUUGUUUUCAUGAUUACUUUUAAAAAAAAUUGUUCGGUUCCACCAAGCAUUAUAUUUUUUGUUAAACAAAAAACUAUGUUUGUUAAAAAUGUUGUUAGUUAAAAACAUUCCUUUUGCCCUAGUUAUCUGGGGGCUCUUAAAUUUACAGGAGCCAUUUUAUAAUAAGUUCAUUUUUAGUUGUUACAAAGUUUUUUUCUAUUACUCCUUUUUCUAACUUGAGUGUGUGGUCAAUAGCCAUCGCCUGAUUUCUCUCUAAAGCCGCUCAAUUUUAGUUCGCUAAAUUGGCCUGAGAAACACUCUGCCUUCAGGAUAGGAGGUUGAAGCCAAAGGAUGACCCACUUGAAGUAGAUUGGAUGUAUCAUGUUAAAGCACGACAGAAGCACAUACUAAUUUUAAGACCAAUUUUAGAUUGACACCACAAAACCUGAUCUAAUUUAGACGUAAAGUUUUUAUGUGUGUUUUUUGGUUUUCCAAGCUUAUGGCACAUCUAACCUAUUUGUGUGUCUCCAGCAUAAGUCUCGCAGUACAACACCGGACACCUUUAAAACUUCGGCAAUAUCAACGAGGGCUGCAACUAGAGCCGAAACCACCAAAAGCCAAGGUACUCCAUGGACUCCUCGGCAAAACGUUUUCGGAUAUUGCUUUAUAUGCAUCGGUUUCGAAUUGCGUUUUCGGUCAAUAGUUGGGUUGCCUGGCUCCUAUGAUUGCCCCCUACGCUCCGCUUUGUUCGGCUAGGUGCACAAAGGGAGAACCACUGCGAUUGUGCUUCCAGCUCGCAUCGUUAAGGGUCUCAGUGGAGAAAGCUAAAAACUGACUGUCACAAUAAGCGUAAACUGGUCAGCGAUCCUAUGAGUGUGUUAAACUAUAAGAUCGAUGGAGGUCACCCCGUGUUAAACGACAGGCCGUUCAUAACAUUGGCCAAAGUGUUAACGGGGCGGCUUGACCUCGGCUGACGCUGAACACUAACUGGGGGCUAGUAACUGGCUACCCAACUUUAAGCUCCUAUGACUAAGGGAAAACUAUAAAGCCCGCAUAUCUGAUUGCCUUGUUUCCGCUAACAAAACCGCCUCCGGGCAUCGAGACAUCAGUUAAGGGUUGUCUUGUUACUACAGAAGCACCCUGCAUAGCAUCUACAAAGGGGUAGAAGCCAACAAUGGGCCACUUUCAAAUGAUAAACCGUGGCAACAGAGUCAAAAUAAACAUGUAUCAUCAGCGUUUGUAUUCAUUAUACAAUCGCUGCCUUCCGUAAUUAUCAUUAUAAAGCCAUAAAUAUGCAUCAAUUUGACUUAAGAUUUUGGCCAAACGGGGUUGCCUGGCUCCUGUGCUUACCCCUGCGUUCCCGAUCAUUCGGCUAGGCGGUAAAGGAAGCAUCUCUGUGAUUGUUACUACCGGGUCAUCCGAGUUAGUACCUCAGACUGGGUGAAGCCGAAAGCUAGCCAUCUUAAAGGUUAUGAUUGGUUGGCAACGAUGGAAGUGAAAAUUUAGGUUCACUUAGAACCACAGAGUUCGGGAUCAUGAUCAGCAUGACAACUCAAAGAAAGGAACUGAUAGCGGGACUAUUUUCUUUGGAAGAUACUUCUUACGUCAAAUAGUAAUAUAACAUAUCUCUCCGCGUACCUUUCUUUAUAAAACCGCAUGGCCGGAUUUCCUUGUUUUCAAUAAAUCUUUGCCCUUAUAAUGGCUUUAUAAAGUAGGAAAACACUCCUCAGCUACUGGCCGAGGAGGUUGAAGCUGAUGGUUGGUCAACAAAGUUUGUACAAUGCGGAUCCGAGUACUAAUGAUGUAAAGUACUUUGGUACAUAGAAUCACUACACAUAAUAGACAAAGUUCAUUUUACUUCAAGUCGUCUAUACAUAUAUUAACGAAUGGUGGAGGAAGGAGAUCCUGAUGGCUCUGGUGACCAAAUGACGGAGGAAGGAUAUCAUGAUGACGGCUCCGGUGACCGAAUGGAGGAGGGAGCUAUUGCAAAGUCCAGCGAGGUAUAUAUAUUAAUUAUGCCUGUGCUGACUGUUGGGGAACGUUGAAGAAAACAAAAAUUUUCCUACGGUUUCACCAAGAUCCAUCUAUGAGUUCAUCUAGCAACGAGUGAUCGGAUGCAUCUACAUACCUUUGUAGAUCGCGAGCGGAAGCGUUCAAAGAACGGGGAUGAGGUAGUCGUACACGACGUGAUCCAAAUCACCGGAGAUCCUAGCGCCGAACGGACGGCACCUCCGCGUUCAACACACGUACGAUCAGCGUGACGUCUCCUCCUUCUUGAUCCAGCAAGGGGGAAGGAGAGGUUGAUGAAGAUCCAGCAGCACGACAGCGUGGUGGUGGAUGCAGGGCGUCACAGUAGCAGGGCUUCGCCUUAUACUACGAGAGAGAGAGGUGUAGCAGGGGAGAGGGAGGCGCCAGGACUCAGCGUGCGGCUGCCCCCUCCCUCCCCCUCAUAUAUAUAGGCUCCCCUAGGGGGGCACCGGCCCUAGGAGAUUGGAUCUCCUAGGGGGGGCGGCGGCCAGGGCUGGAGUGCCCCCCAAGGCAAGGUGGGGCGCCCCCCCACCCCUAGGGUUUCAACCCUAGGCGCAUGGGGUGGGCCUAGGGGGGCGCACCAGCCCACUAUGGGCUGGUUCCCCUCCCCACUUUGGCCCAUGGGGCCCUCCGGGAUGGGUGGCCCCACCUGGUGGACCCCCGGGACCCUUCCGGUGGUCCCGGUACAAUACCGGUGACCCCGAAACUUGUCCCGGUGGCCGAAACAACACUUCCUAUAUAUAAUUAUUUAUCUUCGGACCAUUCCGAAACUCCUCGUGACGUCCGGGAUCUCAUCCGGGACUCCGAACAACAUUCGGGUUACUGCAUAUACAUAUCUUCACAACCGUAGAGUCACCGAACCUUAAGUGUGUAGACCCUACGGGUUCGGGAGACAAGCAGACAUGACCGAGACGACUCUCCGGUCAAUAACCAACAGCGGGAUCUGGAUACCCAUGUUGGCUCCCACAUGCUCCACGAUGAUCUCAUCGGAUGAACCACGAUGUCGAGGAUUCAAGCAACCCCGUAUGCAAUUCCCUUUGUCAAUCGGUAUGUUACUUGCCCGAGAUUCGAUCGUCGGUAUCCCAAUACCUUGUUCAAUCUCGUUACAGGCAAGUCACUUUACUCGUACCGUAAUGCAUGAUCCCGUGACCAGACACUUGGUCACUUUGAGCUCAUAAUGAUGAUGCAUUACCGAGUGGGCCCAGUGGUACCUCUCCGUCAUACGGAGUGACAAAUCCCAGUCUUGAUCCGUGUCAACCCAACAGACACUUUCGGAGAUACCCGUAGUCUACCUUUAUAGUCACCCAGUUACGUUGUGACGUUUGGUAUACCCAAAGCACUCCUACGGUAUCCGGGAGUUACACGAUCUCAUGGUCUAAGGAAAGGAUACUUGACAUUGGAAAACUCUAGCAAACGAACUAUACGAUCUUAUGCUAUGUUUAGGAUUGGGUCUUGUCCAUCACAUCAUUCUCCUAAUGAUGUGAUCUCGUUAUCAAUGACAUCCAAUGCCCAUAGUCAGGAAACCAUGACUAUCUAUUGAUCAACGAGCUAGUCAACUAGAGGCUUGCUAGGGACAUGUUGGUGUCUAUUAUUCACACAUGUAUUACGAUUUCCGGAUAACACAAUUAUAGCAUGAAUAAAGACAAUUAUCACGAACAAGGAAAUAUAAUAAUAAUGCUUUUAUUAUUGCCUCUAGGGCAUAUUUCCAACAGUCUCCCACUUGCACUAGAGUCAAUAAUCUAGUUACAUUGUGAUGAAUCGAACACCCAUGGAAUUCUGGUGUUGAUCAUGUUUUGCUCUAGGGAGAGGUUUAGUCAACGGAUCUGCUACAUUCAGGUCCGUAUGUACUUUACAAAUAUCUAUGUCUCCAUCUUGAACAUUUUCACGAAUGGAGUUGAAGCGACGCUUGAUGUGCCUGGUCUUCUUGUGAAACCUGGGAUCCUUGGCAAGUGCAAUAGCUCCAGUGUUGUCACAGAAGAGUUUGAUUAGCCCCGACGCAUUGGGUAUGACUCCGAGGUCGGUGAUGAACUCCUUCACCCAAAUUGCUUCAUGCGCUGCCUCUGAGGCUGCCAUGUACUCCGCUUCACAUGUAGAUCCCGCCACGACGCUUUGCUUGUAACUGCACCAGCUUACUGCCCCACCAUUCAAAAUAUACACGUAUCCGGUUUGUGACUUAGAGUCAUCCAAAUCUGUGUCGAAGCUAGCGUCGACGUAACCCUUUACGACGAGCUCUUCGUCACCUCCAUAAACGAGAAACAUUUCCUUAGUCCUUUUCAGGUACUUCGGGAUAUUCUUGACCGCUGUCCAGUGUUCCUUGCCGGGAUUACUUUGGUACCUUCCUACCAAACUUACGGCAAGGUUUACAUCAGGUCUGGUACACAGCAUGGCAUACAUAAUAGAACCUAUGGCUGAGGCAUAGGGGAUGACACUCAUCUCUUCUACCGUGGUCGGACAUUGAGCUGAGCUCAAUUUCACACCUUGUAACACAGGUAAGAACCCCUUCUUAGAUUGAUCCAUAUUGAACUUUUUCAAUAUCUUAUCAAGGUACGUGCUUUGUGAAAGACCUAUGAGGCGUCUCGAUCUAUCUCUAUAGAUCUUGAUGCCUAAUAUAUAAGCAGCUUCUCCAAGGUCCUUCAUUGAAAAACUCUUAUUCAAGUAGGCCCUAAUGUUGUCCAAGAGUUCUAUAUCAUUUCCCAUCAAAAGUAUGUCAUCUACAUAUAGUAUGAGAAAUGCUACAGAGCUCCCACUCACUUUCUUGUAAACGCAGGCUUCUCCAUAAGUCUGCGUAAACCCAAACGCUUUGAUCAUCUCAUCAAAGCGAAUGUUCCAACUCCGAGAUGCUUGCACCAGCCCAUAAAUCGAGCGUUGGAGCUUGCACACCUUGUCAGCAUUCUUAGGAUCGACAAAACCUUCCGGCUGCAUCAUAUACAAUUCUUCCUUAAGGAAACCAUUAAGGAAUGCCGUUUUGACGUCCAUUUGCCAUAUCUCAUAAUCGUAGAAUGCGGCAACUGCUAACAUGAUUCGGACGGACUUUAGCUUCGCUACCGAUGAGAAAGUCUCAUCGUAGUCAACCCCUUGAACUUGUCGAUAACCCUUAGCGACAAGCCGAGCUUUAUAGAUGGUCACAUUACCAUCCGCGUCUGUCUUCUUCUUAAAGAUCCAUUUAUUUUCUAUGGCUUGCCGCUCAACGGGCAAGUCAAUCAAAGUCCAUACUUCGUUUUCAUACAUGGAUCCUAUCUCGGAUUUCAUGGCUUCCAGCCAUUUGUCGGAAUCCGGGCCCGCCAUCGCUUCUUCAUAGUUCAAAGGUUCACCGUUGUCUAACAACAUGAUUUCAAAGACAGGGUUGCCGUACCACUCUGGUGCAGAACAUGUCCUUGUGGACCUAUGAAUUUCAGCAGGAGCUUGAUCAGAAGUAUCUUGAUCAUCAUCAUUAACUUCCUCUCUAGUCGGUGCAGGCACCUCAGGAACAUUUUCUUGAGUUGCGCCAUUUUCCGGUUCAAUAGGUAAUACUUCAUCAAGUUCUACUUUCCUCCCACUUACUUCUUUCGAGAGAAACUCUUUCUCUAGAAAGGAUCCAUUCUUGGCAACAAAGAUCUUGCCUUCGGAUCUGAGGUAGAAGGUAUACCCAAUAGUUUCUUUAGGGUAUCCUAUGAAGACGCAUUUUUCUGACUUGGGUUCGAGCUUUUCAGGUUGAAGUUUCUUGACAUAAGCAUCGCAUCCCCAAACUUUUAGAAACGACAACUUAGGUUUCUUCCCAAACCAUAAUUCAUACGGUGUCGUCUCAACAGAUUUCGACGGAGCCCUGUUUAAAGUGAAUGCGGCAGUCUCUAAAGCAUAGCCCCAAAAAGAUAGCGGUAAAUCGGUAAGAGACAUCAUAGAUCGCACCAUAUCUAAUAGAGUGCGAUUACGACGUUCGGACACACCAUUACGCUGAGGUGUUCCAGGCGGCGUGAGUUGUGAAACUAUUCCACAUUUUCUUAAGUGUGUGCCAAAUUCGUGACUCAAAUAUUCUCCUCCACGAUCUGAUCGUAGAAACUUGAUUUUUUUGUCACGUUGAUUUUCAACCUCACUCUGAAAUUCCUUGAACUUUUCAAAGGUCUCAGACUUGUGUUUCAUUAAGUAGAUAUACCCAUAUCUACUCAAGUCAUCAGUGAGGGUGAGAACAUAACGAUAGCCACCGCGAGCCUCAACACUCAUUGGACCGCACACAUCAGUAUGUAUGAUUUCCAAUAAGUUGGUUGCUCGCUCCAUUGUUCCUGAGAAUGGAGUCUUGGUCAUUUUACCCAUGAGGCAUGGUUCGCACGUGUCAAAUGAUUCAUAAUCAAGAGACUCUAAAAGUCCAUCUGCAUGGAGCUUCUUCAUGCGUUUGACACCUAUGUGACCAAGGCGGCAAUGCCACAAGUAUGUGGGACUAUCAUUAUCAACCUUACAUCUUUUGGUAUUCACACUAUGAACAUGUGUAGCAUUACGCUCGAGAUUCACUAAGAAUAAACCAUUCACCAUCGGAGCAUGACCAUAAAACAUAUCUCUCAUAUAAAUAGAACAACCAUUAUUCUCGGAUUUAAAUGAGUAGCCAUCUCGAAUUAAACGAGAUCCCGAUACAAUGUUCAUGCUCAAAGCUGGCACUAAAUAACAAUUAUUGAGGUUUAAAACUAAUCCCGUAGGUAAAUGAAGAGGUAGAGUGCCGACGGCGAUCACAUCGACCUUGGAACCAUUCCCGACGCGCAUCGUCACCUCGUCCUUCGCCAGUCUUCGCUUAUUCCGCAGCUCCUGCUUUGAGUUACAAAUGUGAGCAACUGCACCGGUAUCAAAUACCCAAGAGCUACUACGAGUACUGGUAAGGUACACAUCAAUUACAUGUAUAUCACAUAUACCUUUUGUUUUGCUGGCCUUCUUGUCCGCUAAGUAUUUGGGGUAAUUCCGCUUCCAGUGACCACUUCCCUUGCCAUAAAAGCACUCAGUCUCGGGCUUGGGUCCAUUUCUUUUGCUUCUUCCCGGCAGCUUGCUUGCCGGGCGCGGCAACUUCCUUGCCGUCCUUCUUGAAGUUCUUUUUGCCCUUGCCCUUCUUGAACUUAGUGGUUUUAUUCACCAUCAACACUUGAUGUUCCUUCUUGACUUCUACCUCUGCUGAUUUCAGCAUAGCAAAUACUUCAGGAAUGGUCUUUUCCAUCCCCUGCAUAUUGAAGUUCAUCACAAAGCUCUUGUAGCUUGGUGGAAGUGACUGGAGGAUUCUGUCAAUGACCGCGUCGUCUGGGAGAUUAACUCCCAGCUGAGUCAAGCGGUUAUGUAACCCAGACAUAGUGAGUAUGUGCUCACUGAUAGAACUAUUUUCCUCCAUCUUACAGCUGAAGAAUUUGUCGGAGACUUCAUAUCUCUCGACCCGGGCAUGAGCUUGGAAAACCAUUUUCAGCUCUUCGAACAUCUCAUAUUCUCCGUGUCUCUCAAAACGCUUUUGGAGCCCCGGCUCUAAGAUGUAAAGCAUGCCGCACUGAACGAGGGAGUAGUCAUCGGUACAUGCCUUCCAAGCGUUCAUAACGUCUUGUUCUGCAGGGAGAACAGGUGCGUCACCCAGUGGUGCUUGUAGGACAUAAUCUUUCUUGGCAGCUAUGAGGAUGAUCCUCAGGUUCCAGACCCAGUCCGUGUAGUUGCUGCCAUCGUCUUUCAGCUUGGUUUUCUCUAGGAACGCGUUGAAGUUGAGCACUACGUUGGCCAUUUGAUCUACAAGACAUAUUGUAAAUAUUUUAGACUAAGUUCAUGAUAAUUAAGUUCAUCUAAUCAAAUUAUUUAAUGAACUCCCACUUAGAUAGAUAUCCCUCUUCUAGUCAUCUAAGUAUAACAUGAUCCGAGUCAACUAGGCCGUGUCCGAUCAUCACGUGAGACAGACCAGUCAACAUCGGUGAACAUCUUCAUGUUGAUCGUAUCUUCUAUACGACUCAUGCUCGACCUUUCGGUCUUCUGUGUCCCGAGGCCAUGUCUGUACAUGCUAGGCUCGUCAAGUCAACCUAAGUGUUUGCAUGUGUAAAUCUGUCUUACACUCGUUGUAUGUGAACGUUAGAAUCUAUCACACCCGAUUAUCACGUGGUGCUUCGAAACAACAAACUGUCGCAAUGGUGCACAGUUAGGGGGAACACUUUCUUGAAAUUAUUAUGAGGGAUCAUCUUAGUUACCACCGUCGUUCUAAGUAAACAAGAUGCAAAACAUGAUAAACAUCACAUGCAAUCAAAUAAUAAUAGUGACAUGAUAUGGCCAAUAUCACAUAGCUCCUUUGAUCUCCAUCUUGGGGCUCCAUGAUCAUCUUGUCACCGGCUUGACACCAUGAUCUCCAUCAUCGUGUCUCCAUGAAGUUGCUCGCCAACUAUUACUUCUACUACUAUGGCUAACGCGUUUAGCAAUAAAGUAAAGUAAUUUACAUGGCGUUUCUCAAUGACACGCAGGUCAUACAAAAAAUAAAGACAACUCCUAUGGCUCCUGCCGGUUGUCAUACUCAUCGACAUGCAAGUCGUGAUUCCUAUUACAAUAGCAUGAACAUCUCAUACAUCACAUAUAUAUCAUUCAUCAUUCAUCACAACUUUGGCCAUAUCAUAUCACAAAGCACUUGCUGCAAAAACAAGUUAGACAUCCUCUAAUUGUUGUUGCAAGUUUUACGUGGCUGAAUUAGGGUUCUAGCAAGAACGUUUUCUUACCUACGUGAAAGCCACAACGUGAUUUGUCAACUUCUAUUUACCCUUCAUAAGGACCCUUUUCAUCGAAUCCGCUCGAACUAAAGUGGGAGAGACAGACACCCGCCAGCCACCUUAUGCAACUAGUGCAUGUUAGUCGGUGGAACCGGUCUCACGUAAGCGUACGUGUAAGGUUGGUCCGGGCCGCUUCAUCCCACAAUACCACUGAAGCAAGAUACGACUAUUAGCGGCAAGAAAGUUGACAACAUCUACGCCCACAACAAAUUGUUUUCUACUCGUGCAAGAAGAACUACGCAUAGACCUAGCUCAUGAUGCCACUGUUGGGGAACGUUGCAGAAAACAAAAAUUUUCCUACGGUUUCACCAAGAUCCAUCUAUGAGUUCAUCUAGCAACGAGUGAUCAGAUGCAUCUACAUACCUUUGUAGAUCGCGAGCGGAAGCGUUCAAAGAACGGGGAUGAGGUAGUCGUACACGACGUGAUCCAAAUCACCGGAGAUCCUAGCGCCGAACGGACGGCACCUCCGCGUUCAACACACGUACGAUCAGCAUGACGUCUCCUCCUUCUUGAUCCAGCAAGGGGGAAGGAGAGGUUGAUGAAGAUCCAGCAGCACGACGGCGUUGUGGUGGAUGCAGGGCGUCACAGUAGCAGGGCUUCGCCUUAUACUACGAGAGAGAGAGGUGUAGCAGGGGAGAGGGAGGCACCAGGACUCAGGGUGCGGCUGCCCCCUCCCUCCCCCUCAUAUAUAUAGGCUCCCCUAGGGGGGCGCCGGCCCUAGGAGAUUGGAUCUCCUACGGGGGCGGCAGCCAGGGCUGGAGUGGCCCCCAAGGCAAGGUGGGGCGCCCCCCCACCCCUAGGGUUUCAACCCUAGGCGCAUGGGGUGGGCCUAGGGGAGCGCACCAGCCCACUAUGGGCUGGUUCCCCUCCCAACUUUGGCCCAUGGGGCCCUCCGGGAUGGGUGGCCCCACCCGGUGGACCCCCGGGACCCUUCCGGUGGUCCCGGUACAAUACCGGUGACCCCGAAACUUGUCCCGAUGGCCGAAACAGCACUUCCUAUAUAUAAUUCUUUACCUCCGGACCAUUACGAAACUCCUCGUGACGUCCGGGAUCUCAUCCGGGACUCCGAACAACAUUCGGGUUACUGCAUAUACAUAUCUUCACAACCCUAGCGUCACCGAACCUUAAGUGUGUAGACCCUACGGGUUCGGGAGACAAGCAGACAUGACCGAGACGACUCUCCGUUCAAUAACCAACAGCGGGAUCUGGAUACCCAUGUUGGCUCCCACAUGCUCCAUGAUGAUCUCAUCGGAUGAACCACGAUGUCGAGGAUUCAAGCAACCCCGUAUGUAAUUCCCUUUGUCAAUCGGUAUGUUACUUGCCCGAGAUUCGAUCGGCGGUAUCCCAAUACCUUGUUCAAUCUCGUUACAGGCAAGUCACUUUACUCGUACCGUAAUGCAUGAUCCCGUGACCAGACACUUGGUCACUUUGAGCUCAUAAUGAUGAUGCAUUACUGAGUGGGCCCAGUGGUACCUCUCCGUCAUACGGAGUGACAAAUCCCAGUCUUGAUCCGUGUCAACCCAACAGACACUUUCGGAGAUACCCGUAGUCUACCUUUAUAGUCACCCAGUUACGUUGUGACGUUUGGUAUACCCAAAGCACUCCUACGGUAUCCGGGAGUUACAUGAUCUCAUGGUCUAAGGAAAGGAUACUUGACAUUGGAAAACUCUAGCAAACGAACUAUACGAUCUUAUGCUAUGUUUAGGAUUGGGUCUUGUCCAUCACAUCAUUCUCCUAAUGAUGUGAUCUCGUUAUCAAUGACAUCCAAUGCCCAUAGUCAGGAAACCAUGACUAUCUAUUGAUCAACGAGCUAGUCAACUAGAGGCUUACUAGGGACAUGUUGGUGUCUAUUAUUCACACAUGUAUUACAAUUUCCGGAUAACACAAUUAUAGCAUGAAUAAAGACAAUUAUCACGAACAAGGAAAUAUAAUAAUAAUGCUUUUAUUAUUGCCUCUAGGGCAUAUUUCCAACACUGACUUGAUGCAUUAAUUGUUUUGGUAUAUACAUAUAUUAAUGCUUCUUUCUUCUUUCAGCCCUCCGGAUCGAGCCAAACUUCCAUAAGGAGACGAAGCCCGAAGAAAAGGUUGCGCCAGGAAGAAAGGUUCAUGAUCAUAGAAGUCGCGAACGAUGGCCAACCGAUUUCUCCCAAGAAGACCAAGGACACAUUUGUACAUAAGUGCAGAGUUCUUGUUAGGGAAAGUGUCCCGAUCAGCGUCCAGCAAUGGAAUAAGAAUAAGGACCCUGAAGUUUCUUAUGUCUAGGAUAGAAAGAAAGAUGAUCUUUGGACCUCGCUGAUGACAAAUUUCAGCCUACCGCCAAAGGAGGAUCCGAAUAACCCAGUUAUAGAGCGAAAGGUCAAGGCGUUUGCUCUUAAGAAGAUGACAGAUCUAUUCAGGAACUGGAAGAAAGAGUUGAACCUAAAGUUUGUCAAGAAAGAUGAGACUCCAGAAUUCAUCGGUCGAUAUGAGAAGAUAAGAGAUCACUGGCCCGCAUUUGUGGCCUACAAGAAAUCAGAGAAGGGUAUGAAAAGGUCACUGACAAAUAAGAAAAAUGCUGCAAAGAAGAAGUAUCUACGGCAAAGCCCGGCCGUUGUGGGACAAAGCCGGGCAAGACCUGCUUGCUAAAGGGGUCUAACCAGCGACAUUGAACUGGCCAGAUCGUUCAAGGACUUGGUUCUUCGGGGUUGGGGGAACUUUGGACCCAGAAAGAGGGGAGUGUGUUUGGACGGACGAGCAACUUUCAAUACCCAUCCGGAAGCUUCAGAAAUAUAUCAAGGCAACGCACGAAGGGACGUUCAUCCUGAUAGAGAGAAGGACGAGCUGACAAAGGCCCUCGGGAAUCCUGAGCACCCUGGAUAAACACACGGCACUCCAGGCUCCGUUCCGUGGGUGCAUGGGUUUCCCGACAGCGGUGGUUACAGAAGCAGAGAGAGAGAAAGAGGGAAGCGGAAGCAAUAGAAAUGCAGAGGAUCAGUGCAAAGUUAGCAAAACUGGAGGAACUUGAGAGCCAGCGAGCUACCGGCCAACCAUCUCAGCGGCACGAAGAUCCUUGCUUUGACGCUUCCCCAGAAGCUACCCCACCAUCUUAGUGGAGAAGCAGUGUGGCUUCCACGGAGCUCGUUCAGCCUGAUUUCAUGGCUCCUCGCUACCCCGUGGAUAGUAUCACGGAGGCUGAACAUUGCGAGCUAAUGACGAAAUGCCAGAACCUGACCUUGAAGGCGGCCGUCGGCUCUGUUGCUCCUCCUCCAGCUGAGGCAACUUUUCAUUGUCGUCCGAUUCCACAUGGCUAUGCUGUGGUGAUGGUGGAUGAAAUAAUGGAGGGAUUUGAGGAGCUGGAGCUUGACUACCCUACAGGUGAAGGGGAGAAUCAUCUGGUUUAUUCUUUAAGGAGUACCUGUCUAUGGAGGAAGGAGUACAUCAAGCUUGCAAACUAGACGCCUCCUCCUCCUCCUCCUCCUCCGUCGCGUCAAGGCACUCCGCCUCCUCCUCCUCCUUCUCCAGCGAGUGAUCAGGGCACUCCGCCUCCUCCUCCGCCUCCUCCGGCGCGUAAAGGAACUCCGCCUCGUCCUCCGCCACAUCCGGCGUGUCGGAGCACUCCGCCUCCUCCGGCGUGUCAGCGGACUCCGCCGUGCCAGCAACGGCGGAAGAGAGACGCCGCCGCUCCGGCGGCUAGUAGUACAAGAGGCGGGAAGAAAUUCAGAUUUGGUCCAAAAAGCGUGAAGCCUCUUCCAAAGUUACCAUAUGAGAGGACUGACGAGGAAACCGAUGAAACAUGGAAGCCGAAGUGCAGGCCCAUUUGGCACAGAAACCUCCACCUCCGAAGGAAACGGUAGAUCCGGUGAAAGCGAAUCGCACUGUGGAUGCCCUGAAGCGACCACCACCGCCUCCGCCGGAAUCCAACUAUAACCGCUGUAUUGCAAAGACAUACGAUGAAGCACGGCGGUCGGGAAGUACUUUCAGUGAUGCAAGAUUAGCAGAACGAAGAAGUGGGAAAACAAUUCCCCAGCUCGGCGAACAGGCGAAGCAAUCGUGCCCCCCGCUCAAGGUGUCUAGCGAUAUUGUCGGUAAUCAUCUGGGGCUAGUGCCCGGUAUCAAUCUUGGUGAUCACCUGAGAGAUGAUGUACAAUUUGAAAUGUUAGAGGUAAUACAGAUCUUCAGAUAUGAGCACGGGAAGCCUCUCGUCAAACCCGAUCCUCCUCCUCUAACAACGAUGAUGCGAAGAUUGCAUGACUGGUACAUGGAUACCUGCAGGAAGUCUGGGGCCAACAGUAUGAUGGUGAGAAUUAAAGAUGAGCACGAACUCAUUGGAGUUGAGUUGCUGCCUAUUGAAUUUGUGGAGUUAUUUCAGUUAUUCAAUCAAGACACCCUCGACAAACAACUCAUGACUUGCUACUGUCUGUAAGUAUUACUUCUGUAAUUAAGUAUCUAUAGCUCAGCUCGUUCAUUGCAUGUAUAUAUAAUUAUCCUCACUAUAUUAUGCAGGCUGAAGAUCGUCGAAUGCAAAAAAGAACAAAUUAUCCUCACUAUAAAAAAGAGAGAGUCAAAGAUACUGAGGACAACUUGCUACAAUCGUUCCUUCGACAUCAAAACAAAGGGAAAAUACUCUUUCCUUACAACUUCAAGUGAGUCUUACUGUCUUGUGCAUAUUCGGUUUCGCUUACUCGAGGUUAUAGUAAUGUAAUUGAUGAGUUAUGCGUGCGUAGCUUCCACUUUAUUCUACUGGAGAUUAAGCUUGGCGGGGGAGUAGUAAAUAUCUUAGACUCGAGACGUAAAGAUCCCCAGGAUUAUGCGGACAUGACUGUAAUGCUCUAGAAGUAAUUUCAAUCAUUACCAUACCAUAUCAGCAACUUUUGUUCAUUUCCUAAUAUCAAGUAAUCAUUUUCUUUGCCUGGCAGGGUUUGGAAACGGUUCACCGGAAUGGUUCCGGGUCUGCAGAAGGAGCUGCGAUUUACACACCCCAAUGUAAGUAGUACUAGCUACUUCUGCGCAUCUCUCAUUGAUUCUAGUUUCAUCAACACCAUUUAUCAUGCUUGAUUAUCAGUUCGAUUGAACUCUAUUUCUCGUAAAGUGCUUGUGGCAGGAAGGCAGGAAUAAUUUAUGUGGAUACUGCGUUUGUGAGUUCAUUCGCCACUCAAGCUCUGAGCGGGGCAUGUCUGACAAAUAAUUUGAAGUACGUAAACAAACAAUAUUAUUUUAUUACCAUCAAUUGUGUUGAGUUUCAUUCAUAUAUAUGUAUUUACCCCCUUCUUUAAAUUAGAUGCGAUAGAUGCGGGAUGAACUCCUACCACAUGAUCGCAUAUGAGCAGUUCAAGAGAAAUUGGCGGGAUUCUUUCUUGAGCACGUCAUACAUAAAGACGGAGAAUGCCAUGUGGAAAUUGAAAAGGAUUUUAGAUGUUAGGGAUUGCAAGAGAUGUUAUAUUGUAUAUAUGUAGUAGCGUCGGAUAGAUAUACGGAAACUUAUUGUUCGACCAAUCCCAGAGAAAGAGAGGACACUUCUCUCUGUAUUUGUUCAUGAUGAUCUUGUGUAAUUAAUGGUUACUUCAUUUGCUUACUAGCUAGCGUGUCGAGUUCUCUUUAUAUGUAUAGUAGCUAGCAUCGACCAAGCACAGAGAAAGAGAGGUCACUUCUCUCUAUUAGCUAGCUAACAAAAUAUGAAACCCCUAAAUUAACCCUCCAAAACCCCUAAACUGUUGGAAAUAUGCCCUAGAGGCAAUAAUAAAAUAGUUAUUAUUAUAUUUCUUUGUUCAUGAUAAUUGUCUAUUGUUCAUGCUAUAAUUGUGUUAUCCGGAAAUCGUAAUACAUGUGUGAACACAUAGACCACAACACGUCCCUAGUGAGCCUCUAGUUGACUAGCUCGUUGAUCAAAAGAUAGUCAUGGUUUCCUGACUAUGGACAUUGGAUGUCAUUGAUAACGGGAUCACAUCAUUAGGAGAAUGAUGUGAUGGACAAGACCCAAUCCUAAGCUUAGCUCAAAGAUCGUGUAGUUCAUUUGCUGUAGCUUUUCUGAAUGUCAAGUAUCAUUUCCUUAGACCAUGAGAUUGUGCAACUCCCGGAUACCGUAGGAGUGCUUUGGGUAUGCCAAACGUCACAACGUAACUGGGUGACUAUAAAGGUACAUUACAGGUAUCUCCAAAAGUGUCUGUUGGGUUGGCACGAAUCGAGACUGGGAUUUGUCACUCCGUAUGACGGAGAGGUAUCUCUGGGCCCACUCGGUAAUGCAUGAUUAUAAUGAGCUCAAUGUGAUCAAGUGGUUGAUCACGGGAUCAUGCAUUACGGUACGAGUAAAGUGACUUGCCGGUAACGAGACUGAACAAGGUAUUGGGAUACCGACGAUCGAGUCUCGGGCAAGUAACAUACCGAUUGAAAAAGGGAAUUGUAUAUGGAUUGAUUGAAUCCUCGACAUCGUGGUUCAUCCGAUGAGAUCAUCGUGGAGCAUGUGGGAGCCAACAUGGGUAUCCAGAUCCCGAUGUUGGUUAUUGACCGGAGAGUCAUCUCGGUCAUGUCUGCAUGUCUCCCGAACCCGUAGGGUCUACACACUUAAGGUUCAGUGACGCUAGGGUUGUUAGGAAGACUUGUAUGUGAUUACCGAAUGUUUUUUGGAGUCCCGGAUGAGAUCCCAGACGUCAUGAGGAGUUCCGGAAUGGUCCGGAGGUAAAGAUUUAUAUAUGGGAAGUUGUCAUAUGGUCACCGGAAAGUUUCGGGGGCAUAUCAGUAUUGUACCGAGGCCACCGGAGGGGUUCCGGGGGUCCACCGGGAGGGUCCACCUCUUCCGGAGGGCCUUAUGGGCUGUAUGGAGAAGGGAACCAGCCCAAGUGGGCUGGGGCACCACACCCCCUAGGGCCCAUGCGCCUAGGGUUGGGGGAAACCCUAAGGGGGGCCCCCCUUGCUCGGGGGGCAAGCCCACCUCCCGUUGUCCGCCGCCCCCCCUCUAAAUCUCAUCUAGAGGGGGCCGUGCUCAUUCCCCUUUACCCUAUAAAUAGAGGGAUGAGGGGAGGGCUGCAGACAACAUCCAAGGCGCAGCCCCUCCCCUCCCCAAUACCUCUCCUCCUCCAUAAGAGCUUGGCGAAGCCCUGCCGGAGUACUGCAGCUUCAUCACCACCACGCCGUCGUGCUGCUGUUGGAGCCCUCUUCCUCAACCUCCCCCUCCUCCUUGCUGGAUCAAGGCGCGGGAGACGUCCUCGCUCCGUACAUGUGUUGAACCCGGAGGUGCCGUCCGUUCGGCACUAGGAUCUUCGAUGAUUUGGAUCACGUCGAGUACGACUCCAUCAACCCCGUUCUCUUGAACGCUUCCGCUCGUGAUCUACAAGGGUAUGUAGAUGCACUCCUCUCUCCCUCGUUGCUAGAUGACUCCAUAGAUUGAUCUUGGUGAUGCGUAUAAAAUUUUAAAAUUCUGCUACGUUCCCCAACAGUGGUAUCAGAGUCAGGUUUAUGCGUAGUUACUAUGCACGAGUAGAACACAAAGUAAUUGUGGGCGUUGAUAUUGUCAAUUAUCUUGCCGUUACUAGUCUUAUCUUGAUUCGGCGGCAUCGUGGGAUGAAGCGGCCUGGACCAACCUUACACGUACGCUUACGUGAGACCGGUUCCACCGACUGACAUGCACUAGUUGCAUAAGGUGGCUGGCGGGUGUCUGUCUCUCCCACUUUAGUCGGAUCGGAUUCGAUGAACAGGGUCCUUAUGGAGGGUAAAUAGAAAUUGGCAAUUCACGUUGUGGUUUUGGCAUAGGUAAGAAACGUUCUUGCUAGAAACCUAUAACAGCCACGUAAAAACUUGCAACAACAAUUAGAGGACGUCUAACUUGUUUUUGCAGCAAGUGUUUUGUGAUGUGAUAUGGCCAAAGGAUGUGAUGAAUGAUAUAUGUAUGUAUGAGAUGAUCAUGUUCUUGUAAUAGGAAUCACGACUUGCAUGUUGAUGAGUAUGACAACCGGCAGGAGCCAUAGGAGUUGUCUUUAUUUAUUUAUGACCUAUGUGUCAACAUAAACGUCAUGUAAUUACUUUACUUUAUUGCUAAAGCGUUAGCCAUAGUAGUAGAAGUAAUAGUUGACGUGACAACUUCAAGAAGACACGAUGAUGGAGAUCAUGAUGAUGGAGAUCAUGGUGUCAUGCCGGUGACAAUGAUGAUCAUGGAGCCCCGAAGAUGGAGAUCAAAGGAGCAAAUGAUAUUGGCCAUAUCAUGUCACUAUUUGAUUGCAUGUGAUGUUUAUCAUGUUUUACAUCUUAUUUGCUUAGAACGACGGUAGCUUAAAUAAGAUGAUCCCUCGUAAAAUUUCAAGAAAGUGUUCCCACUAACUGUGCACCGUUGCGAAGGUUCGUUGUUUCGAAGCACCACGUGAUGAUCGGGUGUGAUAGAUUAUAACGUUCGAAUACAACGGGUGUAAGCCAGAUUUACACACGCAAUACACUUAGGUUGACUUGAUGAGCCUAGCAUGUACAGACAUGACCUUGGAACACAGAAGACCGAAAGGUCGAUCAUGAGUCGUAUAGAAGAUACGAUCAACAUGAAGAUGUUCACCGAUGUUGACUAGUCCGUCUCACGUGAUGAUCGGACAUGGCCUACUUAACUCGGAUCAUGUUAUACUUAGAUGACUGGAGGGAUGUCUAUCUGAGUGGGAGUUCAUUGAAUAAUUUGAUUAGAUGAACUUAGUUAUCAUGAACUUAGUCUAAAAUCUUUACAAUAUGUCUUGUAGAUAAAAUGGCCAACGUUGUCCUCAACUUCAACGCGUUCCUAGAGAAAACCAAGCUGAAAGACGAUGGCAGCAACUAUACGGACUGGGUCCGGAACCUGAGGAUCAUCCUCAUAGCUGCCAAGAAAGAUUAUGUCCUAGAAGCACCGCUAGGUGACGCACCCGUCCCACAGAACCAAGACGUUUGGAACGCUUGGCAGACACGUGCUGAUGAUUACUCCCUCAUUCAGUGAGGCAUGCUUUACAGCUUAGAACCGGGCCUCCAAAAGCGUUUUGAGCGAUACGGAGCAUAUGAGAUGUUCGAAGAGCUGAAAAUGGUUUUCCAAGCUCAUGCCCGGGUCGAGAGGUAUGAAGUCUCCGACAAGUUCUUCAGCUGUAAGAUGGAGGAAAAUAGUUCUGUUAGUGAGCACAUACUCAGAAUAUCUAGGUUGCAUAACCGCUUGACUCAGCUGGGAGUUAAUCUCCCGGAUGACGCAGUCAUUGACAGAAUCCUUCAGUUACUUCCACUGAGCUACAAGAGCUUUGUGAUGAACUUCAAUAUGCAGGGGAUGGAAAAGACCAUUCCUGAGGUAUAUUCAAUGCUGAAAUCAGCAGAGGUAGAAGUCAAAAAGGAACAUCAAGUGUUGAUGGUGAAUAAAACCACUAAGUUCAAGAAAGGCAAGGGUAAGAAGAACUUCAAGAAGGACGGCAAGGGAGUUGCCACGCCCGGUAAGCAAGCUGCUGGGAAGAAGCCAAAGAAUGGACCCAAGCCCGAGACUGAGUGCUUUCAUUGCAAGGGAAGUGGUCACUGGAAGCGGAACUGCCCCAAAUACUUAGCGGACAAGAAGGCCGGCAUCACGAAAGGUACAUGUGAUAUACAUGUAAUUUAUGUGUACCUUACCAGUACUCGUACUAGCUCCUGGGUAUUUGAUACCGGUGCGGUUGCUCACAUUUGUAACUCAAAGCAGGAGCUGCGGAAUAAGCGGAGACUAGCGAAGGACAAGGUGACGAUGCGCGUCGGGAAUGGUUCCAAGGUUGAUGUGAUCGCCGUCGGCACGCUACCUCUACAUUUACCCACGGGAUUAGUUUUAAACCUCAAUAAUUGUUAUUUAGUGCCAGCUUUGAGCAUGAACAUUAUAUCAGGAUCUCGUUUAAUAUGAGAUGGCUACUCAUUUAAAUCCGAGAAUAAUGGUUGUUCUAUUUAUAUGAGAGAUAUGUUUUAUGGUCAUGCUCCGAUGGUGAAUGGUUUAUUCUUAAUGAAUCUCGAGCGUAAUGCUACACAUAUUCAUGGUGUGAAUACCAAAAGAUGUAAGGUUGAUAAUGAUAGUCCCACAUACUUGUGGCACUGCCGCCUUGGUCACAUAGGUGUCAAACGCAUGAAGAAGCUCCGUAAAGAUGGACUUUUAGAGUCUCUUGAUUAUGAAUCAUUUGACACGUGCGAACCAUGCCUCAUGGGUAAAAUGACCAAGACUCCAUUCUCAGGAACAAUGGAGCGAGCAACCAACUUAUUGAAAAUCAUACAUACUGAUGUGUGCGGUCCAAUGAGUGUUGAGGCUCGCGGUGGCUAUCGUUAUGUUCUCACCCUCACUGAUGACUUGAGUAGAUAUGGGUAUGUCUACUUAAUGAAACACAAGUAUGAGACCUUUGAAAAGUUCAAGGAAUGUCAAAGUGAGGUUGAGAAUCAACGUGACAGGAAAAUCAAGUUCUUGCGAUCAGAUCAUGGGGGAGAAUACUAGAGUCACGAAUUUGGCACACACUUAAGAAAAUGUGGAAUAGUUUCACAACUCACGCCGCUUGGAACACCUUAGCGUAAUGGUGUGUCCGAACGUCGUAAUCGCACUCUAUUAGAUAUGGUGCGAUCUAUGAUGUCUCUUACCGAUUUACCGUUAUCAUUUUGGGGCUAUGCUUUAGAGACUACCGCAUUCACUUUAAAUAGGGCUCCGUCGAAAUCCGUUGAGAUGACACCGUAUGAAUUAUGGUUUGGGAAGAAACCUAAGCUGUCGUUUCUAAAAGUUUGGGGAUGCGAUGCUUAUGUCAAGAAACUUCAACCUGAAAAGCUCGAACCCAAAUCGGAAAAAUGCGUCUUCAUAGGAUACCCUAAAGAAACUAUUGGGUAUACCUUCUACCUCAGAUCCGAGGGCAAGAUCUUUGUUGCCAAGAAUGGGUCCUUUCUAGAGAAAGAGUUUCUCUCGAAAGAAAUAAGUGAGAGGAAGGUAGAACUUGAUGAAGUAUUACCUCUUGAACCGGUAAGUGGCGCAGCUUAAGAAAAUGUUCCUGAGGUGCUUGCACCGACUAGAGAGGAAGUUGAUGAUGAUGAUCACGAAACUUCAGAUCAAGUUUCUACUGAACUUCGUAGGUCCACAAGGACACGUUCCGCACCAGAGUGGUAUGGUAACCCUGUCUUAGAAAUCAUGUUGUUAGACAACGGUGAACCUUCGAACUAUGAAGAAGCGAUGGCGGGCCCGGAUUCCAACAAAUGGCUGGAAGCCAUGAAAUCUGAGAUAGGAUCCAUGUAUGAAAACGAAUUAUGGACUUUGACUGACUUGCCCGAUGAUCGGCGAGCCAUAGAAAAUAAAUAGAUCUUUAAGAAGAAGACAGACGAGGAUGGUAAUGUGACCAUCUAUAAAGCUCGGCUUGUCGCUAAGGGUUAUCGACAAGUUCAAGGGGUUGACUACGAUGAGACUUUCUCACCUGUAGCGAAGCUGAAGUCCGUCCGAAUCAUGUUAGCAAUUUCCGCAUUCUAUGUUAUGAGAUAUGGCAAAUGGACGUCAAAACGGCAUUCCUUAAUGGUUUCCUUAAGGAAGAAUUGUAUAUGAUGCAGCCGGAAGGUUUUGUCGAUCCUAAGAAUGCUGACAAGGUGUGCAAGCUCCAAGCUCGAUUUAUGGCCUGGUGCAAGCAUCUCGGAGUUGGAACAUUCUUUUUGAUGAGAUGAUCAAAGCAUUUGGGUUUAUGCAGACUUAUGGAGAAGCCUACAUUUACAAGAAAGUGAGUGGGAGCUCUGUAGCAUUUCUCAUAUUGUAUGUGGAUGACAUACUGUUGAUGUGAAAUGAUAUAGAAUUCUUGGAAAGCAUAAAGGCCUACUUGAACAAGUAUUUUUCAAUGAAGGACCUUGGAGAAGCUUCUUAUAUAUUAGGCAUCAAGAUCUAUAGAGAUAGAUCGAGACGCCUCAUUGGUCUUUCACAGAGUACGUACCUUGACAAGAUAUUGAAGAAGUUCAAAAUGGAUCAGUCAAAGAAGGGGUUCUUGCCUGUAUUGCAAGGUACGAGAUUGAGCAUGGCUCAAUGCCCGACCACGGCAGAAGAUAGAGAAAAGAUGAGUUUCGUCCCCAAUGCCUCGGCCAUAGGGUCUAUCAUGUAUGCUAUGCUGUGUACCAGACCUGAUGUAAACCUUGCCGUGAGUUUGGUAGGAAGGUACCAAAGUAAUUCCGGCAUGGAACACUGGACAGCGGUCAAGAAUAUCCUAAAGUACCUGAAAAGGACUAAGGAAAUGUUUCUCGUUUAUGGAGGUGACGAAGAGCUCAUCGUAAAGGGUUACGUCGAUGCUAGCUUUGACACAGAUCUGAAUGACUCUAAGUCACAAAUCGGAUACGUGUAUAUUUUGAAUGGUGGGGCAGUAAGCUGGUGCAGUUGCAAGCAAAGCGUUGUGGCGGGAUCUACAUGUGAAGCGGAGUACAUGGCAGCCUCGGAGGCAGCACACGAAGCAGUCUGGGUGAAGGAGUUCAUUACCGACCUAGGAGUCAUACCCAAUGCAUCGGGCCCGAUGACUCUCUUCUGUGACAACACUGGAGCUAUUGCCCUUGCCAAGGAGCCCAGAUUUCACAGGAAGACCAGGCAUAUCAAGCAUCGCUUCAACUCCAUUCGUGAAAGUGUUCAAAAUGGAGACAUAGAGAUUUGUAAAGUACAUACGGACCUGAAUGUUGCAGAUCCGUUGACUAAACCUCUCCCUAGAGCAAAACAUGAUCAACACCAGAACUGCAUGGGUGUUCGAUUCAUCACAAUGUAACUAGAAUAUUGACUCUAGUGCAAGUGGGAGACUGUUGGAAAUAUGCCCUAGAGGCAAUAAUAAAAUAGUUAUUAUUAUAUUUCUUUGUUCAUGAUAAUUGUCUAUUGUUCAUGCUAUAAUUGUGUUAUCCGGAAAUCGUAAUACAUGUGUGAACACAUAGACCACAACACCUCCCUAGUGAGACUCUAGUUGACUAGCUCGUUGAUCAAAAGAUAGUCAUGGUUUCCUGACUAUGGACAUUGGAUGUCAUUGAUAACGGGAUCACAUCAUUAGGAUAAUGAUGUGAUGGACAAGACCCAAUCCUAAGCUUAGCUCAAAGAUCGUGUAGUUCGUUUUCUGUAGCUUUUCUGAAUGUCAAGUAUCAUUUCCUUAGACCAUGAGAUUGUGCAACUCCCGUAUAUCGUAGGAGUGCUUUGGGUAUGCCAAACGUCACAACGUAACUGGGUGACUAUAAAGGUACAUUACAGGUAUCUCCUAAAGUGUCUGUUGGGUUGGCAUGAAUCGAGACUGGGAUUUGUCACUCCGUAUGACGGAGAGGUAUCUCUGGGCCCACUCGGUAAUGCAUCAUCAUAAUGAGCUGAAUGUGAUCAAGUGGUUGAUCACGGGAUCAUGCAUUACGGUAUGAGUAAAGUGACUUGCCGGUAAUGAGACUGAACAAGGUAUUGGGAUACCGACGAUCGAGUCUCGGGCAAGUAACGUACCGAUUGACAAAGGGAAUAGUAUACGGAUUAAUUGAAUCCUCGACAUCGUGGUUCAUCCGAUGAGAUCAUCGUGGAGCAUGUGGGAGCCAACAUGGGUAUCCAGAUCCCGCUGUUGGUUAUUGACCAGAGAGUCGUCUCGGUCAUGUCUGCAUGUCUCCCGAACCCGUAGGGUCUACACACUUAAGGUUCGGUGACGCUAGGGUUGUUAGGAAGACUUGUAUGUGAUUACUGAAUGUUGUUCGGAGUCCCGGAUGAGAUCCCGGACGUCACGAGGAGUUCCGGAAUGGUCCGGAGGUAAAGAUUUAUAUAUGGGAAGUUGUCAUAUGGUCGCCGGAAAGUUUCUGGGGCAUAUCGGUAUUGUACCGGGGCAACAGGAGGGGUUCCGGGGGUCCACCGGGAGGGUCCACCUCUUCCGGAGGGCCUUAUGGGCAGUAUGGAGAAGGGAACCAGCCCAAGUGGGCUGGGGCGCCACACCCCCCUAGGGCCCAUGCGCCUAGGGUUGGGGGAAACCCUAAGGGGGGGCGCCCCCUUGCUUGGGGGGCAAGCCCCCUCCCCUUGGCCGCCGCCCCCCUCUAGAUCUCAUCUAGAGGGGGCCGGUCCCCUUCCCCUUUCCCCUAUAAAUAGAGGGAUGAGGGGAGGGCUGCAGACAACAUCCAAGGCGCAGCCCCUCCCCUUCCCAACACCUCUCCUCCUCCAUAAGACCUUGGUGAAGCCCUGCCGGAGUACUGCAGCUUCAUCACCACCACGCCGUCGUGCUGCUGUUGGAGCCCUCUUCCUCAACCUCUCCCUCCUCCUUGCUGGAUCAAGGCGCGGGAGACGUCCUUGCUCCGUACGUGUGUUGAACGCGGAGGUGCCGUCCGUUCGGCACUAGGAUCUUCGGUGAUUUGGAUCACGUCGAGUAUGACUCCAUCAACCCCGUUCUCUUGAAUGCUUCCGCUCGGGAUCUACAAGGGUAUGUAGAUGCACUCCUCUCUCCCUCGUUGCUAGAUGACUCCAUAGAUUGAUCUUGGUGAUGCGUAGAAAAUUUUAAAAUUCUGCUACGUUCCCCAACAUAAACCCCCCUUUCAAAAACAAAAAUACAAAAAUCCAUGCGCCUGCGAGCUGCUGACGCGUGGCUACCUUUUGGCCUCGGUUAGUGUUACCAACCGGGAGUAAAGGUCCUCCUGCUUGGGUGCCCCGCAGCGGCCACAUGGAGCCCCUUCGGUCCCGGUUCGUAAGCAAACCGGGACUUAAGGUUUUGGGCUUUAGUCCCCAUUGAUUUGUCCCGGUUCCAGAACCGAGACUAAAGGCCCUCUGGAACCGGGACUAGUACCAUGUUUUCUACUAGUGUACGAGUCCAAGUUUCAAGGUAUCUCGCCCCUCAAUAAUCGACCGCCAUAUCUGGGAGCAUGGUUUCCUAAUUCAGCAGAUAAAAAUUAUGUUUCAGGAUAGUACACUACCUUUAAGAUCCUUGCACUUAGCGAUUCUAGAUUGUCAAGAAUUCUGCAUGCAUGUCUCGCCAAGAGUGCUAGGUUGAAAAUUUCGAAAUCUCUGAACCCCAAUCCACCCAUAUACUUGGGCAUACUCAUGGUGUCCCAUGAAACCUAAUAUGGUUUACGUUGUCCUUGCUUACUGCCCCACCAAAAAGUUGUGAUCAUGGACUUCAAUUGCUUACUUGAACCCCUCGGCAAUUUAAAGCAAGAAAAAAUGGAAUACACAGGGAUAGAUUGGGCCACUGAUUUUACUAGGACCUCUUUACCAGCAGUUGACAAAAGUCUCUCCAUCCAACCCUGUAUUAUACUCCACAAACGGUCCUUGAGAUAUUUGAAUGCCCCAUUCUUCGAGAUCCCCACAUCAGAAGGCAUCCCAAGAUAUUUCUCGUUCAACUGCUCAUUGGGGACAUUCAAUAUAUUUUUAAUGGCACCUCUGACCUCCUCGGGAGAUCCUUUACUUAAAAAGAUGGAAGACUUGUCUUUGUUUGUUCUCUGUCCCGAUGCUCGUGCAUAGGUCUCCAACAUGAUAGAUACUUCUUCAGCUCCCUCAGUACUUGCUUUAAAAAACAGCAGGCUAUCAUCUGCAAAUAACCAAGUGGUUCACCGGCGGAGCCGUUGAAGCCACUUGUAUACCACCAAAAUUAGAUGACUGAACUCUGGAUUUUAAAUGGCAUGAAAGGCCCUCUGCUGCCAGCAAAAAGAGGUAUGGUGAACUAGGAUCCCCCUGACGGAUACCCCGUGUUGGUUGAAAUUCAUCAAGCUUCUGACCAUUAAAUAAAACAGAAUAGGAGACUGAGGUGACCAUUCCCAUCACUAUGUCCACCCAUCUCUGUGUAAACCCCAACUUCAAUAUCACUGCUCUCAGGUAGCUCCAUUGUACCUUGUUGUAGGCUUUCAUCAUAUCUAGCUUCAAAGCACAAUGCCUAUGCAUGCUUUUCUGCCCUGUUUCUCUUCAUAAAGUGCAAACACUCAUAAGUAGCAAUAAUAUUGCCAGUAAUGAGACGCUCAGGGACAAAAGUAGAUGGCUCCUCCGAGAUAAUAUCAGGUAGCACAACCUUCAGACCAUUUGCUACCACCUUCGAUGCUAUUUUAUAAAGUACAUUGCAUAGGCUUAUUGGACGAAAUUGGGUUAGAAGUGUUGGGUUUUUACCUUUGGGAUCAAAACCAAAACGGUGUUGUUUAUUUCCAGCGCACUCUCCACUCCUUGAACAAUUCUCAACACCACCUUGGUGACUGCUUCUCCACAAAUAUCCCAAUGUUUCUGAAAAAACUACUCCGCCCCUGCGUGCAUGGGCUUGAAUUUGAGUAGAAAACAAUUCAAAUAUCGAUGUCAUUGCAGGAGAAAGAAAGGCACGCACGUAAAAAAUGUUGCAUUAUAAGUAUUAAUUUAAAAUAAUGCCAUUUGUUUUCGGAAUCCAAUGUUUCAUUCCCGAUCCUAUAGUCUGCAUACUAGAUAUUCAAGGAGGCGCCCAUUUUUCGAAAAUAUUUGAAUUCUCCAAUCCCAAGAAAUAUGUUUACGUACGUCACCCACCAACCCCACGCAGACAGCCACUCUCUCUCUCAUGUGACGCCGAGAGCUGCAUCUGAACCGUCCACACCUCGAACGGAGGCACAGGGUCGGCCCCGACCUUAGCUUAGCAUUCACGGCUCCUUCGCCUUUAGGCCUUAUAUAAUAGGAGAUGAUUAGGGAGGUGCUUAGAAAAGUAAACCGAGUUUUUCUGAAGCAGGCUCGUCGUCGUCGCAGCUCUGUGUGUUCGGUAAGUAGAGUACUGCAUGCAUUAUCCGAUCGAGCAUGAAUCCACAUGCACUUCACUUCUGCUUACUUACUUUAUGCUGGUGUGGUGUGAUGAUGCAUGCUUCUUCUAAUUAAUGCUCAAUAUAUAUGAUUUGUGGAAGAGCAGUUUAUUAGCUUUGUUUUAUGUGCUAUGAAUGCCUGAGUCAUCUACCUUGCUCUGCUCUCAUUUGUGUGUUGUCGUGCGUAGUUUAGCUAUUGCUUUUGAUUCUGUUAUGUUAAAAUUCUCUCUAUGCAUGGUACAAUCUGUGAAUGGACUUGUGGAGGAGCUACAAGUGUGUGUGUGUGUGUGUGUCGAGAACACAUUCUCUUUCUGUACAACAUCUGUGGUGGAGAAAAGCAGGUGCCUCCUGGCCAAUGUGGACUGCUUUACCCUCCACCACCUCCUUCACCACCUUUUUCACUCGUGGUCUCGCAUGGGCAUGGACGCGUACCUCAUGCAGUGUUGUUGUCUUCCUUGGUCGGUGGCCUUGUUGGUUUACUGAGCAUUACAGAAAAUAUUCUCCCAUUACAAAUUGCAGCAAUGCAUGGCAGAUACUCAUGUGCUCCACCCAGAGCCGGUUAAAAGUAUUUUUGGUCCCGGGGCGGUGUAAAAAGCAAGUGUUUUUCAUAUUAAACUUUUAUACUUGUUUUAAACUAAGUGUACCAUAUUACAGUUGUAAUUAAUAUAUUUUUUAUUACUUAGUCACAUAAAAUAUUUUCAAAUAACAGUUACAUUAUUCAUUGGUAUGCAGUUGUAAUGUAUAUCAUUGAAAAUUUUAAUUCUACAAAAUGAAAAUUUUAUGAUGUACCAAAAAUUUUCUUUAUCGUUGAAACAAUAUUUCAUAUUUUUAUUUUUCUAAUACUGCAUAAACGAUGUAGUGUAUAGACAUUUGCAUAUAUAUGCAUUCGUCCAUAUAUCUUUUAAUAUUAUAUUGAAUAUUAUGAUAGAGAUUUCUAAAUUAUAGACACACUAACAAAUAUUUUCUAGUGAUUUCUAAUGUAUAUUAGACAGUCAUAUUCAUGGAACCUUCUAGGGCAUAGAAAAUGUGGCUUGCAUCUUGGGUUUACUAAUUCGAAGAACCAAAAAUGUUGCUGAUUAUACUUUUACACAUGAUUCAAUUACCUAACAUGCUCGUCCAAAUUCACUUGGUUUGAUUUGGUGCAAAUGAGAUGCCUACAAGUUUAUCGAAUUAAAAAUUAUGCAUUGGUUUAAACAUUGGAAUCCAGAUAUCAUAAUUUUUAUUAUGAUACUAAGACAUGCAUCAUAAAAAGAGACUAAUGUAUUUGAACUCAACUUCUCAACUAGGAUUGGUUUGCCUAUGCGUGGAAUAACUUAUCAGUAUGUGGUGUAAACUUACGCUUUUUGCAAUUGAGGCUUUAUUUUAUCCAUUUAAGAAUCUUUCAGAUGUAAUGCAACAUUCAGAUUGGAUUGUGUAAAGGUUCCUCUAGGAUUGAACAAACCACAUUUGGAACAGAAUUCGUAUUUGGACAGAUUUCGUAUUUGAACAAUUUUCGAGUUCCACAUUUCCGUUCAAAUUUGAAAUUUGUUCAAACUCAAAAAUUGUUCAAAUCCCAAAAUUGUUCAAAUUAAAAAAAUGUUCAAAACCAAAAUUUUUUCUUAAUCUAAAAUUGUUCAAAAUAAAAAAUUGUUUAAAAAACCAAAAAAACAAACAGAAAACGCAUAGAAAAAAAGGAAAACCGCGCUAAUGGGCCGGCCCAGGCCGGCACCCGCGUGAGCGGAACCGAAUAUUGUCCGCAAUGAGCGGAACCUAGGUUUCGCCGCGUAGGUCGCCGCACAGCUCGGUUCGUUCUCUUAUUGGGCCGGCCCAGCUCGGUUCCCAUCCUCUAUUAUCUUCCUUCGUUACGUUCUCAGUUUUCUUCCUCCCGUCUUCUUUUCUUCUUCUUCAUCUCCUUUCUCCUUCUCCUUCCGCGCCGCAGUUUUCUAGAUCCACAGCGGACGGAGGUCGUCCCUCCGUCGGGCGUUCUUCACCAAGGUUUGAGAAUCAACCUUGACCGCCAUCCCCGUCUCUGUCUCUCUUUUUUUCUUCUUGGAUGUGCGUUGUUUACCCCGCUGGGCAGCGAUUUGUUUAGAGACGUGAUAGGAUUUCUAGAGUUUUGCCCUAGUCUUCUGCUAGGAUUUUUACUAAAUCAUGGCGUGUUGAUGUCGUUUGCUUCGUUUAGUUAGGGCUCUGCCAUGGUUUUUCGCUAGGUUUUCACCAUAGUCUUGUGCUAGGGUUUCUAAUUCAUGGCGUGCUGAUGUGGUUUGAUUCAAUUUCACUAGGGUUCCGACAUGCUUUUCGCUAGGGUUUUCCAAUUUUUUCAUGGAGUGCCGAUGUUUUUUGCUCCGAUUUUUAGCUAGGGUUUCGCCAUAGAUUUUUAUUAGGGUUGCGCAAUUUCAUGGCGUCCUGAUGUGGUUUGCAUCGAAUUAACUAGGGUUUCGGCAUAGAUUUUUUUAGCUAGGGUUCCCCCUGACAAUCAUGUAUUGUACAUGCUGGUCUUCUUUGGUUCUUAGUGUGGAAUCUCAUUUUUUGUUAAACCUAUUCUUAAGUUGCUAUGUUAUUUAUUUGUAGUACAUUCUAGGUAUGAAAGCACUGAACAUUUUACAGUCUGAAUCCACGUCAGUAUUUUUUACGUACAUUUGGUUGUUGUGUUAUCAUUUUUUUGUUAUCAAAAUAAUGCUAUGAGCAACAUCCCGUGUUAAUGCUUUUUAUAUCCAUGUUGUCCUCCCACGCAAAUAGCAAUUUCUUCAUGAUUUAAAAUGAUAUGCUUUUUACAUGAAAAUAAUGCUAUGAUCAACAUCCCUCAUAAUGGAACAACCUCACUAAUUUUUUAUCUCAGUUAGUUUUUAGGUUCUUCAUUUUAAUCUUAUCCUUUUUUGGUUUGUUCCAUAGAGCUCCUUGUCUAGUAACCAUGUCUAAAAUCUGAAACACCAUGGGACUAUGAAGCAUAGGUUCUCGACCCUCAGAUGGAACAAAGUCGUUACAAAUAUAACUGAUAAGCAAAAAUGAUAUGUUUCCAAACAUGAUCUGGAUAAUCGGUUGCACAUCAAUAGGCAUCUGAUUGUCCCCAUUAUUGUAUUCAUGCAAUGGUUUGCCGACCACACUCGCUCAAAUGUUGUCUUCAAGCACAAGAAUAAAGUUAUUCAUAUCCGAAGGGAAGUGGUCAUUCAGGUUUUUGGAAUUCAAUCUGGUUCUGAACCCUUUCCUACCGUGAGCAAUGAGCCUGCUGUAGUAGCAAAAGUUAAGGAACUCAGCGAUAAAUAUAGAUCUGGAAGUAGGAACAUUCCAAUAGAAAACAUUGUCACCAUGAUGAAGAAUGAUGAAAGUGAGGAAGGUUUUAUUUGUAGUUUCCUGUUUCUGUUCUUCUCAACAAUUCUCUGUCCAAUCACUGCCAACUACGCAAACUGGAAGCUUCUGUACGGUCUGCAUGACAUUUUGCAGUUGCAUAAUGUUCGGCGAGAAUUUGUCGCGCCGAAGUAUCUAUGAGCACGAGUAUAUAUCAUAGUGUUUUUUCAUAGAAUCAAAGGAAGAAUGAUUUUGGUAGUAUUUAAUAUGCACACAUACAAAGAAAAGCUUUCUCCACGUUCGGUGGCCAUAGUUCAUGCAUGUGGACUUGAGCCUGAUGCAUGCAUGCGUUGCAUGCUAAUUAGCUUUCUCAAUCACAAAUAUGCCAUUUAAAUAUUCCGGCCACGCACUUGAGUCUGCGGGACAGCCACAAGGGCCUCGGUCAAAAGUACAUCAGCUGUACGCGGCUGGAUAAGAGGCACCGGAAGCUUCCUUUGUUUCAAAUUUACUGGUAGUCCGAUUCUCUCGCCAACAAUACGGUCAUGCAAACAGAAAACUGGCGGCGCUGGUGGGCUGCACGUCGCUCCCUCCGUUACCCUAGCGCCUGCCUAUAUAAAGGCCAGCAAUCUUCACGCAGAAGAGGGGGCGGGGAUCGUGAGAUCGCAUCCCGAGACAUCGAGCGAGGAGAAGACGCGUCGACGAAGAUGGCAGCCCCGCGGCCAUUCAGAUGACGAGAAAUGACGGCCGCCGAGAUGGCGCAAGCCUGGCCGGCACGUAGGCUGUGGCAACCGCGACCCUCUGACGGUCUGACCCCAAGCAGGAGCAAGCAUCGAUGAUGAUGGCCGGACAGGAGGAGGUGUCUGCAGCUGGAGGCAUCAUCAGUUGGCUAGCACGCCCUCAUCUCUCUCUUGUUCCUAGAGUAUGUGUUUUGUUUUGUUUCAAUUGUCUUAUCAGGUUUCGCCGGAGGAGGCACGGCCAGAGAGGGACGCACGGCCAGAGAGGGGAGGCGAACCCAUGCAGCCAUCCGUCCAUCACACGCAGCACCCCAUCCAUCCAUAACUCACGCACCCGAGGCCGUACGGCGGCAGCCAGCCCGUGGUGGCAGCGCCAAGGAGGUGAAGACGCGCCCACGGCAGAAGCUUCCUGGAGAUACGCUCGCCGGGUAACCCUAUUCCGCGGCUGUGCGUGCCUUGAGGAUGGAGAGACACCCAGGAGGAGACGCGCCCCUGCGGCAGCGUCGAUGAGAGUUGUCAUCUUGCCGCAGAAGAUGUACAGGUGCUGCGGCAGCGCCGAGGCCGAUCAGAUCAGAUGAGGAGAAGCGGCGGCGCCAGGAAUGACAACUCGGAAACUGCCCAAUCUUGGCCGGCGCGUCGGCAGUGGCCACGACGCCCUCAUCACCCUCUUCCUCCUAGUACAUGUGUUUUCUUUGUCAUUGUUUUUCCAGGGUUCAGGGAGGGGCGGAGCUCACGUACGCAGGACGCGGCAGCGGGAAGGAGGUACGCGCGAAGAGAAGACGCGCCCGAUGGCGACAGCUUCGACAUGCAGAUGAGCGAUGCGCAUUGAGGGGUUGAAGGGCAACCACGACGCAGCACGUGCGGCAAGGAGAUCACGGAGGCCAAAGGAGUGAUGCGCUCGCCGCUAUGGUGGCAGCACACGUCAAGACGCGAGGCCGUGGCCAUCGCGGGCGCCCUCGCACACACACACACGUACCCUUGCCUAUCCGGCCGGUGGCUGCGCCGGUGACAAAGAGGACGGGCAGCAAGCAGAACACGCUGGCGAAGAAACACAUACACGUACAAUGGUCCAGGAGCAGCACCUGGGCAUGGAGGUUUGCAGCAGCUCCUCCUGCGUGCCUCGUCUGGGUAGCAGGCAGGAACCCAAGGAGGCACCCUCGAGAGGACUUGAAGAUGGUGGCAUACAUCCAUCCAUCAGGCCUCGCACCAGGAGGCACCCGGAGGGAUCAAGAAGGAACGCCCCAGAAAUUGUGGCAGCGACGAGGAGAUCGGAGGGCGCGCCGGAGAUGGAGCCACCCGGUGGCCGUGGAGGACGAUGACAUGAAGGUCGACGGCACCAAGGUCUCCAUCACCCCUCGCGUCCACGUCGUUACCGCGGCGCUGUAGAAGACGACAUGGAGCGACGCCACACCGCCGCCCACCAUUGAUGUCGUCAAGCCGGCGCCAUGGAGGAUGGCGACACGGAGCUCGACAUCAUGCAGCCCGUCGUCUACCUUGUUACACCGAAGAGAUGCCGUUCGAGAUGGAGACCUAUGAUUCGCUGUCACGCCCUUCGCCCACUUCAUCGAUACAUAGAGGACGAAGCGGCGGAGCUUGCCUGGACGCCGCCCGCCGACGACUUCGUCAAGCAGGCGUCGGCAACGACACCGACACGGAGCUCGACAUCAUGCAGCCCAUCGUCUACUUCGUCACACAGGGAUGCCGUUCAAGAGGGCAACCCAGAGCCCGCCAUCACACACCGUUCAUUAACUUCAUCAAGUAGGCGCCAUGAAAGGUGACGACACGAAGCUCAAUAUCACGCAGCCCGUCCUCUACUUCGUCGCACCAGGGGCACGCACGCGUAGACGCCAUAAGGCCGCCGCCCUUCACAACGCACACAUCCAUCCAUCAGGAGAUCCAUCCAUUCACCACGCACGUCCUAAGAGAAGACUCGCCAGCGCCACAUCCAUUCGUCACCGGCGCUACAUCCAUCCAACAACGCAGCCCAACCGCUAGCUCCGGCGCCCUACCAUGGCGGCCUUCAUGGCGCUCGGUGAACACCUCAUGGCGUACAGGUCGCGACGCACAGAUGGCGACCAACAGGGCCACGGUGAACAGGUUCAUGGCAAAGGGUACACCGGCAUACAGGUUUUGCAUCGCGCUCUUGGAGGAGACGAAGUGGCAAAACCGGAGCUCGCUGACGAUGCAGCCCGAAACUCGCCUUUCCCUUCACGGCGUAUAGGUCCUUGGUGGAACCAAUGUCCGCAAGGACGGGUCUAAGACCGGUUCUUCCUUCACGAGGCACGCGUCCCCGACGAAGAGGUCAAUGGCGUACAAAUCCUUCAUCGAGCUGGAAUUUGCAACGGCGCUGUCCAAGGCCGGUCCAUCCUACGAGAGGUGCACCCACUGUGGCGGACAGAGCAGCGACGUACAGGUCCACGGCGUCGCCAGCGUACAGGUCACCCCUGGCGUAGCACCAGCCCAGCGCGAGGUGGCCUCUACAACGCUACCAUUCCAUGGCCUCAUGAGGUGCCCCCCUUUGUCUUGGCGGACCGCCGAAUACUCGGCGUCUAGCCGAGAUGAGGUGCCAACCACCGCGGCCACGCCCAUGUGAGCGCACGUUAGUUUUUACACUGACGCCGGUCUCUCCAAACCGUUACACCCGCAAGGCGUAGCCCGUUGAACACCCCGAUGAAGCAACAGGUCGCCAAGAAGUCUAAGCCAAGCGCGACCCAUGCUACCCCAACACCAACUACUCCAACACCGUCAAGACCGACGAGGCACGACGGCGAGGGCGGGCGCGGCCACCGCUAAGGCCACGCCACUUGCGGCGCGUGUACCGAUGAGGACACGGGCUCUGCCGCUUCCCACACACACAUCACCAUCAUCAUGCAUGGAGGACGCGAAGCGAAGACGACGAAGACGACCACACGGCUUAAUCGGAGGUAUCCCGCGAAGCAACCCGCGGAUGUAAUUAUCCGGGAGCCUUCCGAGGCCCCGGGAACCAGGAGACCGCAAUCGCCACAGUCAAGUAGGCCGCGCAAGUAGGCCACGGAGCGCAUAUGUAAAGGGAUCUUGUAAUUUUGUUUCUCCAAUGGGAGAUUAAUAAAAUGCCUGUUUCCCUUUGUUUAUUUGUGUACUUAGUACACUGGCACGCCCGUAAUUUUUAUUUCCCCUGGCGUGUAGAGAGAUAGUAAUACGAUAACCAUCGUUGUUUGUUAUUAUUUUUCGUGUCAAAUUGCGUUGUGAAGGGCGGCGGCCUUGUGGCAUCUACGCGUGCGUGCCCCUGGUGCGACGAAGUAGAGGACGGGCUGCGUGAUAUUGAGCUUCGUGUCGUCACCUUUCAUGGCGCCUACUUGAUGAAUAUAAUGAACGGUGUGUGAUGGCGGGCUCUGGGUUGCCCACACACACAUCACCAUCAUCAUGCAUGGAGGAUGUGAAGCGAAGACGAUGAAUACGACCACACGGCUUAAUUGGAGGUAUCCCGCGGAGCAACCCGCGGGUGUAAUUAACCGGGAGCCUUCCGAGGCCCCGGGAACCAGGAGACCGCAAUCACCACAGUCAAGCAGGCCGCGCAAGUAGGCCACGAAGCGCAUAUGUAAAGGGAUCUUGUAAUUUUGUUUCUCCAAUGAGAGAUUAAUAAAAUGCAUGUUUCCCAUUGUUUAUUUGUGUACUUAGUACACUGGCACGCCCGCAAUUUUUUAUUUCCCCUGGCGCGUAGAGAGAUAGUAACACGAUAACCAUCGUUGUUUGUUAUUAUUUUUCGUGUCAAACACAUAAGUAUGAUUACACUGGUGCAUGUCGGUUCUAAACAAACGGUUUAAAACCUCUUUCCGCGACGACAUUUGGAACCGUCUCCAAGUGAGUGUGGGCGAUAGGGGGGGGGGGGUCCUUCCCACAUGACCCAGAAACCGUCGGGGAUAUGCCCUCCUGGCAUACACGUUUGGCAAAAUGAGGUCGUGUGCGACCGACGAGCGCUCAAAUACGGAAAUACGUAUAGUAGAGAUAAAAAUACAGUUAUACAGCAAAAUUGUUUCCGGUCGCAAGUACAUCCCACACAGUCAGUCCCCGCUAAAUGUUUCCGUUCGUAUGCACAUCCCACACAGUCGCUCCAAGGAAAACAUUUCCGUUCAUAGGUACAUCACACACAAUUUUUCCAGUUAAAUCGUUUGCGUUAUUGAAUGUAUCACACACGGUCCGUAGAAGAAACUGUGUGGCAAAGGUUGUCCAUCACACACAGUUUUUAUGUGGUAAACAUUUGCGCAAGUUGGCCUAACACAAACAGUUUUCAAAAGAAAGUCAUGUGUGAUUGUUCAUUGAUCUAACAUGGUUUAUUUCUAGAAACUGUGUGCGUUGCCUGAGGUCAUCGCCCGCGGUACCAUUUCAACAACCGUUUGCAAUAGCAAAACCCAAUUAGCAGGAUGAUUCGCUAUUAGUAGCUAAUUAUCCGAUUAUUCAUAAUCCAUUUAUUAAUAUAAUUGACAUUUCAUAUUAACACACAAUAUAUUUCAUUUCCAUAUUAAGGAAGCAAAAUUUCAUAAUUGAAAUACAUCAGAGUAAAACAUGAUAUAGCUUCAGCACUCAGCUACCCCAUUACACAACUGCACCAGCAGCAAGUUCCACAUGCAACAUGUAGAACCUUUCGAAAUUAGCAUCAUGGACGGUAUAUAGACAGAUGCAUCUCAUCUGGAAAGCUACUGAAGCGGAAGGCGAAUAUUGGGCCUUCAUUCAUGUUGAAGGUCUUUGCAACUUUAGGCCAGUGCCUAUGGAUGAUUGACCGUCUGUCCUUCAUCCUCUUCAGGAACACUUCAAUAUUGAACCGUGGGUGUUGUAUGAAAACCUUCCUCGCCUCCUGACCAUAGAGAUGGUUUGAGAGGUAAUCAUCAGUGAACUGCUUGGAAAGGCCUGAAAACAAGGAUGUGCAUAAAUAUCUUCUCUAUAUUGAAAAUGGGGCAAAGGAAUAAAAAAGGCAAAGUAUAAUAGUUAGUACCAUCUUGUAGUGAACUGAUGUCUUCUUCAUUGUGCAGACAAAGAUCUUGUUAUUUUUUGUCGCUAAUUUCUUUAUCCUAACAAUUUUUCUAAGUUUCUUGAUUUGAUUGAUAUUCAUGGACAACUCAUUUCCCCAUAUGCAAAAAGGGUCGAACAGUGGAUCAAAAUCUCUGACAGCAGGACCUACAUGUGCAAGACCAAAUUGUUAAAAACCUAAAUAUUAGAAUGGUUCCUGCAAUUGCACAAUAAUGUGCUAUUAGACAACGGAUCAUGCACGUCCUAUCUCGAUUGUAAACCUCAGUGCUUCCCAUUGUUUCCCUCCAAUACAUAUAAGGUAGUUAGUCAUCAGGUUAAGUAAGGGUUCGCAUGCUAUCAGUAAAAUAUGUUGAUGAAAAAUAAGCACAUUGCAGAUUCAUCAGAUUAAUUCAAGCCACACGGAAAACCCAUUUACCCAAACCAAGCAUGAUUAAGAACUAGGAAAUAUAACACUUGUAUAUGUUUCUCAUGUAUUAAGUGCAACCAAAUUUGAUUUAUUCCUCACAUGCACAACAAUACAAAAUUCUACCCACGACAAUUGGACAUUGCAUUGUAGAAUUGAACCAAGCAGUUAACUAAACACCACAAUAAAUGAACCAAAUAUUAACUGAGUAGCACAUUGCAAAAUAUAACAUACUCCUAAUAGAAGAUCAGAUAGUUAACCAAACAGUUAACUACAGCCAAUUGUAGCAAUUGUAAUUGUUUCUCAUGUAUUUACUACAACCAAAUUCAAUUUAUUCCUCACAUGGUAUACAAUAACAGAAUACACCCACAAUUUUGUAAAGACAAUACAAAUUUGCAGCUUGAAGAAUUGAACAUCACAUUUGCAGAAUUGAACCAAACAGUUAACUGAAGACGUCAACUAAUUAACAAAAUAGUUAAUAAGUGAGCACCACACUGCACGAUAUAUAGAACAUAUACACUAGAGUAACAGAUUGCAUGGUGAAAUUAGAUAGCACAAUUCACUAGAAUUUAUGAAGGAAAGGCAGGAGCAGCACACGCAACGGGUAAACCAAGCAUGCUUAACCGGCGUAGCUAGCAAAUGGCAAGGUGCUCCUUCAAGAUCUGGGAUCGGCACGAAUGGCAGCCAUCGCAUCCUCAUCCGCGCCUGCGGCCGCGAUUUGCUUCUUUGCUGCCAAAUGCCCCUUGAGGUCGUGGCUAUACUGCAUGCACCAUGGCUUAGGCCGGCGCUUAUUUGAUGGAGGGGUCGGUCAUUUGGGUGGAAGGUGUCUGGGCAUGUGGGAUGUGGAAGGAGGAGGAGGAUGGGGGUCGGGUGUGGAUUACCUGCCUGGAUAGAGGAGGCCGAGCAGUGUGAAGGAGGGUCACCGAUGAGGAGGCGGCACUGGAAGCAAGGAGUGAAGGUUUCAACUUGGAAAGGAAGGCGGAAAGAGGGGAAAUAUUUCCGCGGAAGCCGAAAAUUUGGAAUCGCUUCAGGAAAAAACUGGCGCGCAAAGUGUCAGCAGACACGGUCCCUUAUUCAGAACUGUGUAUGAUAUGUGGACAUCACAAACGAUUUAGAUAGCUUAACCCGUGUGUGAUGAGUUUGAAGGUCAAAAGUUUUGGUUCAAAUUUCCAUGGUUACAGUGGUCAUCCACGUCAUUGCAUAAUUUGAGUACACAAAGGACAGCACACCCACACUUCUUAAUCGAGCAAGUUCAGCAAUUAAACAGAGCUAGCUGACCUAAACAUUAUUAUAACAAAUUAAAGACCGGCACUCUUAAUUAAAAAAAACAAAGAGUACUACUACGGCUGGUGCUCGUCGUGUCCAGCCCGCGCCCGGCGGUCUCCUGUGGAAGGGGCUCCAUGGCAUCCAUCGCACCAUACUCGGCAAGCAUCUCGCCAUUCGUGUCCGCCAUCUCUUUGGAAAAGGCCGCCAUGAUCUGGGUGUGGGCGGACGCGAUCUGGGCUUAGACGGGCUCCGUCGUCGCAAGGUAUGCGGCGGAGGAACGGACGGCUACUCGAGCGCUCUCGGCGAUUGCCAGCUCUUCGGCCAUGGGUUGUCGAUUGUUGUCGGAGAAGCUUCGUUCGAUUUGUGCGAUGACCGCUAGGAGCUGGGUGUGGGUGGCCUCGACAUGGUCGUGGGAGGCCUCCAUCAGGGCUAAGGCCGCCGCUGCGGAUUGGACAGCUGUUGUGCCGCUCUCGCCAGUUGCUAUCCCCGAGGCAGAUGUUGCUGCCGCCACCUGAUAAGCACUAGCGGCCGUUUGGGCUACCUUUGCCACCCGGUCGCAGAUUGCGGCCGUGCUCAUGCACCUUGUUAGCACGCGCAAAGCAGCUGCGGCCGCGCUCUCACUGAAGUGGGGCACCAAAGUUGCCCUCACGACGCGGGUCCACGUGCCCAUCUUUCACCGACGAUGAUUGAACAGUGAAAUGAUAUUUGAGGAGCGAGCUAGUGUGCUUGAGACGCCGGUUGUGGACUAUAGUUGACGCACCUUCUCGCGUAAGCCAUAGGCAUACUAUACACCGACGGUGCUCCAGGAUAUUUUGUGUUGCAUCUCACACGGUUGCUGAUAAUAAACUGUGUGCGAACUACUUGAUUUUUCAUCUUGAUUUGAAUUACAUAAUGGGGUCACAGCCGAAAUGGACGGUGUUUGAAUUGCUAGACCUUUUAUCUGAAGUGAACAUGCAACUAUAUGUGUGUCAUAAAAGAAUUGGAAUUAUUCAGGGUUCGUUUGAACAUUUAAUACAUUAAAUUGGAUUUCUAUGCAUUUCAGGUGAACAAUUCAAAUUUGAACUACAUGCACAUGCUCCAGUGCAUAUAAAUUGGUCGAAAAAUCAAAUCUGUGUCCUUGGGUGCAUGUUUAGGUCCCAUGCAAGAAAUGAGAAUGAAUUUCAAACACCAGGGCACCGUUGAUUGCCGGCAAAACAUUGAGAUGCCUGGUUUUUAAAUUCCAGUAAACCAAAAACUGGUCUAAAAUUCAUGAAACUUGGCAUGCUAUCAUGGAGCGGCAUCAACAUGCUGUGGUAAAUUUUUUGUCCCAUUUGGGGCAGGUUUGAGUAUGUGCUUCUCAACAAGCAUCAUGGUUUUCGGUAGGGAACGUCCCACCUUUGGCGACGAAACGAUAUCCAUUGCCUCUUAUUGCUUUCAAAUAUUUUCUCGUGUCAACAUAAAACAAUAGGAGUGUUGUGUUAAUUUUUGUGAUUUUUCGGGGUUCGUUUGGAUAUUUUUAUGCAUUAACUGAGUUUUCAAUGCAUUUAUGUGCAUAAUUCAAAUUUGAACUACAUGCAAAUGCUCCAGUGCAUAUAAAUUGGUCGAAAAAUCAAAUCUGUGUCCUCGGGUGCAUGCUUAGGUCCCAUGCAAGAAAAGAGAAUGAAUUUCAAACACCAGGGCACCGUUGAUUGCCGGCAAAACAUUGAGAUGCCUGGUUUUUAAAUUCUAGUAAAUCCAAAACUCGUCUAAAAUUCAGGAAACUUGGCGUGCUAUCAUGGAGCGGCAUCAACAUGCCAUGGUACAAAUUUUGUCUUUGGGGUAGGUUUGGGUAUAUGCUUCUCACAAAACGGAGCUUCUCACAACAAGCAUGAUGGUUUUCGGUAGGGAACGUCCCACCUUUUGGGACAAAACGAUAUCUAUUGCCUCUUAUUGCUUUCAAUUUGUUUUCUCAUGCCAAUACAGAACAACAGGAGUGUUGUGUGAAUGUUUGUCAUUUUUCGGGGUUCGUUUCGAAAUUUUUAUGCAUUAACUGAGUUUUCAAUGCAUUUAUGUGCAUAAUUCAAUUUUGAACUACAUGCACAUGCUCUGUUGCAUAUAAAUUGGUCGAAAAAUCAAAUAUGUGUCCUUGGGUGCAUCUUUAGGUCCCAUGCAAGAAAUGGGAUUGAAUUUUAAACACCAGGGCACCGUUGAUUGCCGGCAAAACAUUAAGAUGCCUGGUUUUUAAAUUCUAGUAAAUCAAAAACUCGUCUAAAAUUCAUGAAACUUUGUCAUGGUACAAAUUUUGUCCCAUUUGGAGCAGGUUUAGGUAUAUGCUUCUCACAUACAGGAGCUUCUCACAACAAGCAUGAUGGUUUUCGGUAGGGAACGUCCCACCUUUGGGGACGAAACGAUAUCCAUUGCCUCUUAUUGCUUUCAAUUUUUUUUCUCGUGUCAACUUAGAACAACAGGAGUGUUGUGUGAAUGUUUGUGAUUUUUCAGGCUUCGUUUGGACAUUUUUAUGCAUGAACUGAGUUUUCAAUGCAUUUAUGUGCACAAUUCAAUUUUCAACUACAUGCACAAGCUCCUUGCAUAUAAAUUGGUCGAAAAAUCAAAUCUGUGUCCUUGGGUGCAUGCUUAGGUCCCAUGCAAGAAAAAAGAGAAUGAAUUUCAAACACCAGGGCACCGUUGAUUGCCGGCAAAACAUUGAGAUGCCUAGUUUUUAAAUUCUAGUAAAUCCAAAACUCGUCUAAAAUUCAGGAAACUUGGCGUGCUAUCAUGGAGCGGCAUCAACAUGCCAUGGUAAAAAAUUUGUCCCAUUUGGGGAAGGUUUGGGUAUAUUCUUCUCACAAACCGGAGCUUCUCACAGCAAGCAUGAUGGUUUUCGGUAGGGAACGUCCCACCUUUGGGGACGAAAUGAUAUCCAUUGCCUCUUAUUGCUUCAAUUUUUUUUCUCGUGUCAACAUAGAACAACAAGAGUGUUUUGUGUAUUGUUGUGAUUUUUCGGGGUUCGUUUGGACAUUUUUAUGCAUUAACUGAGUUUUCAAUGCAUUUAUGUGCAUAAUUCAAUUUUGAACUACAUGCACAUGGUCCAUUGCAUAUAAAUUGGUCAAAAAUCAAAUCUGUGUCCUUGGGUGCAUGCUUAGGUCCCAUGGAAGAAAUGGGAUUGAAUUUUAAACACCAGGGCACCGUUGAUUGCCGGCAAAACAUUAAGAUGCCUGGUUUUUAAAUUCUAGUAAAUCCAAAACUCGUCUAAAAUUCAUGAAACUUGGCAUGCUAUAAUGGAGCGGCAUCAACAUACCGUGGUACAAAUUUUGUCCCAUUUGGGGCAAGUUUGGGUAUAUGCUUCUCACAAACCGGAGCUUCUCACAACAAGCAUGAUGGUUUUCAGUAGGGAAUGUCCCACCUUUGGGGACGAAAUGAUAUCCAUUGCCUCUUAUUGAUGCAUUUUUUUCUCGUGUCAACAUAGAACAACAGGAGUGUUGUGUGAAUUGUUGUGAUUUUUCGGGGUUCGUUUGGGCAUUUUUAUGCAUUAACUGAGUUUUCAAUGCAUUUAUGUGCAUAAUUCAAUUUUGAACUACAUGCACAUGCUUCAUUGCAUAUAAAUUGGUCGAAAAAUCAAAUAUGUGUCCUUGGGUGCAUGCUUAGGUCCCAUGCAAGAAAUGGGAAUGAAUUUUAAACGCCAGGGCACCGUUGAUUGCCGGCAAAAUAUUGAGAUGCCUUGUUUUUAAAUCCUAGUAAAUCCAAAACUCGUCUGAAAUUGAUGAAACUUGGCAUGCUAUAAUGGAGCGGCAUCAACAUGUCGUGGUACAAAUUUUGUCCCAUUUGGGGCAGGUUUGGGUAUAUGCUUCUCACAAACCGGAGCUUCUCACAAGAAGCAUGAUGGUUUUAGGUAGGGAACGUCCCUCCUUUGGGGACAAAACAAUAUCCAUUGCCUGUUAUUGCUUUCAAUUUUUUCUCAUGUCAACAUAGAACAGCAGGAGUGUUGUGUGAAUGUUUGUGAUUUUUCGCGGUUCGUUUGGACAUUUUUAUGCAUUAACUGAGUUUUCAAUGCAUUUAUGUGCGUAAUUCAAAUUUGAACUACAUGCACAUGCUCCAGUGCAUAUAAAUUGGUUGAAAAAUCAAAUAUGUGUCCGUGGGUGCAUGCUUAGGUCCCAUGCAAGAAAUGAGAAUGAAUUUCAAACACCAGCGCACCGUUGAUUGCCGGCAAAACAUUGAGAUGCCUGGUUUUUAAUUUGUAGUAAAUCCGAAAUUCUAUUAACCAUUCACCUGACGCCACGUGUCUUGGUUUUAAUGGCUGUGGGAGGUGUCGUGCGGACAGCUGCUUGACCUUGACUGAACGGGAGGCGUGCGAGCGCCGUCCGGUGCACAGGCUGACCGAGAGGCGUGCAAGCUGUCCUCGAGUGCGCAGGCUCACCAGGAAGCGUGCGAGUUAUACGCUGCGCAGGCUCACUGCGAAGCGAUCCCUUUGACUUCCAUGACCGCCCGCCUUGCUCGCAUCCUCUCCAUUAAUGGCGCCCAUGCCGCAGUUUAAUUCGCUUUUAAAAUAUAAAACACUCAACGCAAACGUUUUAGUUAGAACACCCGUAUGCAAAACGACAGCUUCCCCAGGAAGACAAGAGAAAAUGUGUCGAGCAGGAUUUCUGCCGCUCUUUAUCACAAACGUUUUAGAUGGAACACCCGUAUGCAAAGUGAGAGCAGUGCAGGAUUUGUGCAUCCCUUCAAUGCAAACAGUUGUUUUGGAUGACCCGUGUGCAACCACGUACAAACAAUUUGGUAAGAUUUGUCAAUCCUUGUGACACUGCAAUUUGUCAAAAUAUGAAGCUAAAAAUCACUAGCAGUAUCUAAUUUUUCCAACUAAAAUUCAGUAAUUAAGCAUAUAUUUCAUUCAUAGAUUAAGCAUUCCUUCUUAAUUUAUACAGAUAGUUCAACUCGACAGCUGAACCAACCAAACUUCUCCCCAAUUGUUGCCAACCACGUACUGAAAUAACUAGUUGAACUAUAUAUACUUGCUAAUUUUGAGUACGUUGUACAGUUCCACCACAUCUAUAGUCAGAUGAACCGAACAAAAUAGCCCCUAAAUACUACUACUACUCCUACUACUACUACUACUACUACUACUACUCCUACUACUACUACUACUCCUACAGGUACACAAGAUUUGGAGAAGAACCCGCCUUGCAAUGCCGAACAAUCUGCGUGCCGGACUCAUCGUCAUUGAAGUCUGGUUCGGGGGCUACUGAGGGAGUCCUGGAUUAGGGGGUAUUCGGGUAGCCGGACUAUACCUUCAGCCGGACUCCUGGACUAUGAAGAUACAAGAUUGAAGACUUCGUCCCGUGUCCGGAUGGGACUUUCCUUGGCGUGGAAGGCAAGCUUGGCGAUGCGGAUAUUCAAGAUCUCCUACCAUUGUAACUGACUCUAUGUAACCCUAACCCUAUCCGGUGUCUAUAUAAACCGGAGGGUUGUAGUCCAUAGGCAAUCAACUCCAUACACAACAAUCAUACCAUAGGCUAGCUUCUAGGGUUUAGCCUCCUUGAUCUCAUGGUAGAUCUACUCUUGUACUACCCAUAUCAUCAAUAUUAAUCAAGCAGGAGUAGGGUAUUACCUCCAUCUAGAGGGCCCGAACCUGGGUAAAAACAUCGUGUCCCUUGUCUCCUGUUACCAUCCAGCCUUGACGCAUAGUUCGGGACCCCCUACUCGAGAUCCGCCGGUUUUGACACCGACAGCAGUCUUAUGGUUUCAAACCAUGAGUUGCUAUGACGCCACUCUCGGCAAACCUGAAGGAGAGCUUGAUGCUCAACAGGCACAAGCUUUUCAGAAAAUGGUUACUCUGUUUAAGGCUGCUCUUUUGAGUGUUCUUGGUGAGAACAUAGUUGAUGCUUAUGCUUCAAUUGAUAAUGGAAAAGAUAUGUGGGAUGCACUCGAGGCCAAGUUUGGGGUCUCGGAUGCUGGCACUGAGCUGUACAUCAUGGAGCAAUUCUAUGAUUACAGGAUGACUGAAGAGCGCUCUGUGGUUGAGCAAGCUCAUGAGAUACAUUCAUUUGCUAGAGAACUUGAACACUUCAGUUGUAUGCUACCGGACAAGUUUGUUGCUGGAGGUAUCAUCACUAAGCUUCCUCCUUCGUGGAGGAACUUUGCUACCUUGCUGAAACAUAAGAGGCAGGAGUUUUCCGCCCCGAAUCUCAUUGGCACUCUUGAUGUGGAAGAAAAGGCGAGAGCAAAGGACACACGUGCUCGAGGUAUUGAGGGAGGAUCUAGUGCCAAUCUGGUACAGAAGAAGAACUUCCAGCCCCACAAGUUCAAGAACAAGGGAAAGUUUGAUGGUAAAGCAAUGUUUGAUAGAAAGAACAAAGCUGUGCAACACACGAACUUCAAGAAGAAGAAUGACAAGAAGAAAGGUGCUUGUCAUGUGUGUGGGGAUCCUGAUCAUUGGGCUCCUAGUUGCCCUAAUCGCUAUGACAAGCGUCAUCCUGGGAAAGGCGGCAAGACCGCUAAUGUUGUCAUUGGAGACACUAACAUGAAGGAUGCUGGGUAUGGUAUAUUUCCCACUAUUCUUUCAGUAUGUCAUUCUCCUAAUUGGUUGAUUGACACGGGUGCUAAUGUGCAUGUAUGCGGUGAUAUUUCUAUGUUUUCGUCUUAUCAGACUGCAGGGACUUCAACCGUGCUAAUGGGCAACGGUUCAAGUGCUUCUGUUCGUGGUGUUGGCACGGUCGAUCUGAAGUUUACUUCAGGGAAGAUCGUGCAGCUGAAGAACGUGCAUUAUGUCCCCUCCGUCAAUAGAAAUCUUGUUAGCGGAUCUCUUCUGUGUAGAUAUGGCUACAAGCUUGUCUUUGAGUCGAAUAAAUUUGUAAUAUCCAAGUAUGGAACCUUUGUUGGUAAAGUCUAUGAGUCAGGAGGCUUGUUUCGUUUAUCCUUAUCAGACGUUUGCAAUUAAGUUGUUAAUCAUAUUUGCAACAAUAGUGAAUCCAAUGUGUGGCAUUCAUGUCUUUGUCAUGUUAACUUUGGUUGCAUGUCGCGACUAGCGAAGUUGAACUCAAUCCCUAGUUUCACCACCGUCAAGGGAUCUAAGUGUCAAGUGUGUGUGCAAGCUAAGCAACCUCGUAAGUCUCACACGAUUGCGGAAAUAAGAAAUCUUGCACCACUAGAGCUCAUACAUUCAGAUCUAUGUGAAAUGAAUGGUGUGUUGACAAAAGGUGGAAAGAAAUAUUUCAUGACGUUAAUUGAUGACUCCACUAGAUACUGCAAUGUGUAUCUUCUGAAAUCUAAGGAUGAGGCUUUGAACUUUUUCAAGAUCUAUAAAGCUGAAGUGGAAAACCAACUUGAUCGAAAAAUCAAGAGGCUUAGGUCCGACCGUGGUGGAGAGUAUUUUUCCAAUGAAUUUGAUGCUUUUUGUGCGGAACAUGGUAUAAUCCAUGAGAGGACGCCUCCCUAUUCACCUCAGUCAAAUGGGGUGGCCGAAAUAAAGAACCGUACUCUAACAGAUUUGGUUAAUGCCAUGUUAGACACUUCGGGUCUCUCCAAGGCAUGGUGGGGGGAGGCGAUAUUGACUGCAUGUCAUGUCCUAAACCAAGUUCCCACAAAGAACAAAGAGAUAACUCCAUUCGAGGAAUGGGAGAAGAAAAGGUUAAAACUCUCUUAUCUACGAACAUGGGGUUGUUUGGCGAAAGCCAAUGUUCCAAUUCCAAAGAAGCGGAAGCUUGGACCAAAGACUGUGGAUUGUGUUUUCCUGGGAUAUGCUUUUCAUAGCAUUGGCUAUAGAUUCCUGGUUGUAAAAUCUGAGGUACCUAACAUGCAUGUCGGUACGAUCAUGGAGUCGAAUGAUGUGACUUUCUUAGAAGAUAUCUUUCCCAUGAAGGAUAUGGCUACCUCAUCUAAUCAGGAGAUGCCUAGUUCAUCGAAUCAGGAACCGGUUACAACUACCGAACCUGCCAUUUCGAUGGAACACUUUGAAAGUCUUGUGGAGGAGAACAAUGAAGUUCCUACUAGGAGCAAGAGACAGAGGACUGCAAAGUCCUUUGGUGAUGAUUUUCUUGUGUAUCUCAUAGAUGACACUCCCAGUUCUAUUUCAGAGGCCUAUGCAUCUGAAGAUGCUGACUACUGGAAGGAAGCGAUUUGUAGCGAGAUGGAUUCCAUCUUGACGAAUGAAACCUGGGAGAUAACUGAUCGUCCUGAUGGGUGCAAACCUAUAGGAUGCAAAUGAGUAUUCAAGAAGAAGCUUAGGCCUGAUGGUACUAUUGUAAAGUACAAGGCUCGGCUCGUGGCUAAGGGUUAUACCCAAAAUGAAGGUGAAGACUUCUUUGAUACUUACUCACCUGUGGCUCGACUGACCACUAUUCGAGUUCUACUUUCACUAGCUGCCUCGCAUGGUCUUCUCGUUCAUCAAAUGGAUGUUAAGACUGCUUUCCUAAAUGGAGAGUUGGACGAGGAAAUUUAUAUGGAACAACCAAAUGGGUUUGUACUAGAUGGUCAGGAAGGGAAAGUGUGCAAGUUGCUGAAGUCUUUGUACGGACUUAAGCAAGCACCCAAACAGUGGCAUGAGAAGUUUGAAAGAAUUUUAAUAGUUGCAGGCUUUGUUGUGGACGAAGCUGACAAAUGUGUGUACUAUCGCCACGGUGGGGGCGAGGGAGUUAUCCUGUGCUUGUAUGUUGAUGACAUACUGAUUUUCGAAACAAAUCUGAAUGUUAUUAAGGAGGUCAAGGAUUUCCUAUCUCGUUGUUUUGAGAUGAAGGAUUUAGGAGUGGCUGAUAUCAUUCUGAACAUCAAGUUGUUGAGAGACGAUGAUGGUGGGAUUACAUUGCUUCAAUCUCACUAAGUGGAAAAGAUCAUGAGUCGCUUUGGCUAUAGUGACUGCAAGCCCUCUCCAACACCAUAUGAUGCGAGUGUGUUACUUCAAAAGAAUCGAAGAAUUGCUAGAGAUCAAUUAAAAUAUUCCCAGAUUAUUGGCUCGCUUAUGUACUUAGCAAGUGCUAUAAGACCUGACAUGUCUUUUGCUGUUAGCAAACUGAGUCGGUUUGUCUCAAAUCCAGGAGAUGUGCAUUGGAAAGCUCUAGAGAGAGUUUUGCGUUAUUUGAAAGGCACUGCAAAUUAUGGAAUUCACUACACCAGGCAUCCAAAGGUGCUUGAAGGGUAUAGUGACUCAAACUGGAUCUCAGAUGCUGAUGAGAUAAAGGCCACGAGCGGUUAUGUAUUCACUCAUGGAGGUGGCGCUGUUUCUUGGAAGUCUUGCAAGCAGACCAUCUUAACGAGGUCAACAAUGGAAGCAGAACUCACAUCACUAGAUACAGCUACGGUUGAAGCAGAUUGGCUUCGCCGGCUCCUGAAUGACUUGCCGGUUGUUGAGAAACCUGUACCGGAUGUCCUUAUGAACUGCGACAAUCAAACUGUGAUCACGAAAGUGAGCAGCUCAAAGGAUAACGUGAAGUCAUCAAGACAUGUUCAGAGAAGGUUAAAGUCUGUCAGGAAAAUGAAAAACUCCGGAGUUAUUGCGUUGGAUUAUAUCCAAACGUCUAAAAAUCUGGCAGAUCCUUUUACUAAGGGUCUAUCACGUAAUGUGAUAGAUAAUGCAUCGAGGGAGAUGGGUAUGAGACCCACAAUAUGAGUUGUUCACAGUGGUAACCUAUUCUUUGUGAUCGGAGAUCCCGUGAAUUAGAUGUGGAAGACAAGCCGUUGGUCAACUGAGAGGAGGUGCCUGGAGCGCCAAAUUGGAAGCACCCUUAUUUACAUUAGCGAAGAGAAUUAAGCCCUACUGUAUAGCAAACUGCAUAGCGGGGAGGGAGGCAGUGCCUAAGUCGGGCCUCAGACCGGGCGAAUUGCUUUGAACUGGCCUAGGUUCCGUCCUAAGAUAGGUAGAAACGGCGAAAUAUGAUAAAUCACAACCUAGAUGUAGGCGGAUUCUAGGCAGAUCUCGGGCGCGCCUGGGUUGUUUGACUGUGACCUAGCUGGAUCUGGAUGGGUCUAUUGUGGGCUUUGGGCGAGUCUUCUUCGUACGCACGGACGGACAGAUGCAUCGGAGGAUCAUGCAUUUAUAGCACCGCAUCGGUACUCUAUUGCACGUUAAACAUGUAACGUUUUGAUUUGUGCUUAACCAUACACAGGCCACGCAUCAUCCCUUUGACUUUGCUGUCGUUGUUGCCAUUCUCGUUGCCAGAGUCAUUGGUGCCACUAGUGUAGUGGUCAUUGUGUUUGCCAGCAUUCUUGGCAUUGCCCUUGCUGUGGUCGUCAUCGUACACUACCUCCAUACCGGUGCGGUGAAGAGGGCCAUCUCAUUGCAAUCCUUGUCGAAUACCAUGGCAUCCAACAAGUCUACAGCGAUGAACCUGCCGGAACCGAGGUUGACGACCUUGGAGCUACACAAAAUUCGCUCCAAGGUCGUCAACCUCGGUUCCGGCAAUGUCAUCAUCCACCCAGAUCCGCAAUUUCUCCCGCGACGGCUCCUCCCCUCCCAUGACGCCAGAGAUGUCCGCACCGCAGGGGAGGCAGCUUGAUUUGCUGAACCAGAGCCCAAGCUCUGGAACAUACUCCGCCUUGCCCUGGAACGGCAAAACCCAGUCGCCAGCCUUACCACUCGCGAGUGGCAAUGCUGAGAAGUAGAUGGUGUCGGCGCUGAGAAGCAGAUGGUGUCGCCGCCGACGAGAGCUAGCGUGACCACAGACAUAGGCGUGCUUCUGGUGGAUGAACCACGGCGGCAGCGGGGGGAUGUCGCAGUGCCAGGUACUACUACAAAAGGAGCUUGGGUGCUCCGCCCUCCACACCAGGGCCUCGAACCGCGGCUUCGCCUCCGACAUGCAUGUCUGGAUGGAGGAUCCUAUCGAUGAUGUACAGGUCGCCGCCAUCUUGGCCGUCAUGGAGGUGCAAGUCCGACAGAGUGACGGCAAUGGACAUCGUCGAGUGCUUAAGCUCGAUCGUGGAGGCUUGGCAGGCUUUGGAUCCAGCGGCGGCCCUCGCCGGCGUCAAAGCGGAACAUGCGGUUCGCGCGGUUGCCCAAGACGAUCUUGUCCUGGAAAUGAAUGAGGUGAUGGGUCGGCAGGCCGCACGAUACUUCCGGUAGCUUAAUGAGCAGCCCGUUUGCCGGCGUCCGGAUACGGGGCGGCGGCGCCAGGUCAGCCUUGCAGAUCCUUCUCAUGUAGGGCGCUGAGGCCUUCGCAAGCAUCAGUGUUGGUAACAACUUACCAUGCGCGGCCGCCUCAUCUGCCGUCCGGUGAAACAAGUCCAUCGGAGAGGUCCAAGCGUCGAAGCAAAUACACGUGGUUGUGUCCAUCAUGCACCACUAGGUUCACGAACCGCCGGAUGCCGCUGCUCAUCUCCGGCAAUCAACCACCUGGUCGUCAUCGGUCUGCGUGGAACCUGGAGUAGAGCCGCCGCGGCGGUUGUCAAUCUCUCUCUAGUUGCAUCAUCAAUCAAUUGAUCGUAUUCGCGACGCGAGGUCCAUACUAAGGGAGUUGAGUAGGAUACGACAUGGUGCCAAACACAAAUCGCAAGUACCAACGAACCCAAACUAACUAAUUAUAUCAUGUGGCACGCCAAGCAACUGGUUGUUGAUUACGUUGAAGCACGUGAAAAAUAUUGUGAAACAAAAUCAAAAUAAGUAACCAUGAAACGAUUAGAUGCCUGAGAUCCAAAUAAAUAUCACGGUGACCAUGGGGCAGGAGCCGGCAUCAGCAUCCAAGAGGAAAUCAUUUGUUUUUCUUUUGCCAUAAAAACUAGAAUAGUAGUCAUUUAGAUCAGAUCAACAGUAGUAAAUGCAUCAUGGACGUCAGUACAAAGGAACGUAUCAAGAAAAAAAAAAUCUGUUGGGCUUCUCAAAAUGAAUCAUGGACGCCAAUCGUAGACUUGGGUUUCUAAAAAGGGCGAAGUAUCAAGUGAAAACACCUAUUCAGUAAAAACUGAAAACUAUGGUCCAUACGCCAUCUGAUCAAGGACGUAGGGUGCACAGCAAAGAUCUUGUGACCGUAUGCAUCGUUCUGAUGCAGAGGCCGGGGGCUCCCCCUUUUCGAAAAAAAAGGGUGCACAGCAAAGGAUCUCUCCAAGAUGAAUUUUUUUAACCCGAUGGCACAAGAGGCGGCCGCGCAUGCCAAGGGGCUGCCAAUGCUGACGCCCGCCAAUAGCCGUGCCCACAACGACAUUACAAUGUAGUGUAAUGUCAGCUUAAAACUAGUAGUAGACGAUGUCUAUCCAUCUUGUUCUAUAAUUAAACUCAUCAUAUUUUUAUAUUUGUGUAAAAAUGUGUAGCCGCACAAAAUAUCUACUCAGCAGUACAACUUGUUUUCUGACCAUUAAAAAGAGACAAGAAGAAAGAAAACAAAAUUUGCCCCUUCCGUUUUCCUUUUUUUAGCUAGAAAAAAAAGGCUCAAGCAAAAGUUGUUGUUGGUAUCAUCUGCAGCCAACACAUGUGUGGGUGAGCGUUUUGCAAGGUCUAGUAGUACAAGUGCAUGCACCAAUUUAAAUUUGGCAUGCAUGUAUGGAGCUCUAAUGGCUCAUGGCCUCACAAUCACAUCACCCGACNNNNNNNNNNNNNNNNNNNNNNNNNNNNNNNNNNNNNNNNNNNNNNNNNNNNNNNNNNNNNNNNNNNNNNNNNNNNNNNNNNNNNNNNNNNNNNNNNNNNNNNNNNNNNNNNNNNNNNNNNNNNNNNNNNNNNNNNNNNNNNNNNNNNNNNNNNNNNNNNNNNNNNNNNNNNNNNNNNNNNNNNNNNNNNNNNNNNNNNNNNNNNNNNNNNNNNNNNNNNNNNNNNNNNNNNNNNNNNNNNNNNNNNNNNNNNNNNNNNNNNUAGGUAAAUUGUUUAGGACACCUAGGUGCCUGGGCACCUAGGCCUGUUAUGGUAACUCAUAUUCAAUAGUGCAUGGCAUACAAUUGACAAUUAAUGUCUUUCCAUAUUUUGUUUGCAUGCACUAGUAACCUAAAUAGUCAAUGAUUUCUUUUCAAAACAAAAAUAUUCUGAACACUCACACUUGAAUGUGUAUAUACACACAUGUAACAAAGAGAAAACCAUGUGUACAUGUUUUUUGACCAUGAUACCAGGUAGUGGGUAUUAUACCUAAUGAAAAUAUGUACGUUUAGUUUUAUACUCAAUAAAAAUAUACACAUAAAUGUCAUAAAUUUUAAUAAGUACGUGUUGGUGUUAUAUUUAAUAAAAAUAUUCACAUACAUAUACAUACCUUAAUGUGAAUAUACACAUGAAUAUACAUACCUCGAUGUUAAUAUACACAUGAAUAUGUACGCGUUGGUGUUAUACCCAAUGAAAAUAUUCACAUAAAUAUAUAUAACUCGAUGUAAAUUUUAUUUGAAUAUAACCAUAAAUUUCACACCUUUUAAUAAGUGGUAAAUGUACCCGAGAAACCCACAUAUACAUUUUAUUAGACCGCGAUACCAGUUAACGAGUAUAUACCUAAUAAAAAUAUGCACAUGUUGCUGUUAUACCCAAUAAAAAUAUGUACGUGUUGGUGUUAUACCCAGCAAGAAUAAAUAUAUGUGUUGGUGUUAUACUCGAUGAAAAUGUGUACGUGUUGGUGUACGUGGUAAAAAUGUUGCGUAGUAUUUUUCUAAUUAAUUUAUUUUGCAUCUAUCAUGCAUGCCAAAAAUUAUGAUAAAUAAAUAAUUACAAUUUCCUAUCAAGAAGAGAUAAAUAAUGAUACGUAUUAAUUAGAAAACCAUUAUUACUUCCCGCAACAGUAAUGCCAUGCAAACAAAUAGAAAGUAGUAAUGCAGGUAUGCAUGCAAAAUUUAAACACAUCUUACCAACAAAAACUAGUGUGAUCCAACGGUAUCUAGGCGAGGAGCCUGGGCACCUAGGUGUCCCAAACUAUCAUAUAUAUAUGAGGAUAGAAGAUAAUGCAGCUGUAGCUUGCAUCUCGAUCAACACCGUAAGCCACCAUCUAGUCCAGAAAGGUAGAAAUCGACAACAAGAUUGAUCGAUGGCCGGUGCGCGCGCUGGCGGGUCGUUCCUCGCCGUCACCCUCAUGGUGGUGGUGGCCGCAUCAUCCAUGCCGGUGGUCAAGGGGGAUGACAAGUCUGCUUGCGUCGGCGAGUACUCCAAGCUUUGCGGCUACAAGGACCCCGCGUGCACUACCAUGGUCGAGACGACCUGCCACGAUGAUGCCGACAGCGUCAAGGCCAUCAAGGGCAUGUUCGACGAGCUGGCCAAGGUCGGUGGAGACAACUAUGAUUAUGCUUCUACGGCAAUGUCGUGGGGGCACGUGGCCCUCGGCCAUGCCGUCGACGAGCAUGGGGCCUGCCCCGGCAACAAGACGGUCGGAGAUUUUGCCGGUGAGCACUGCAUCCCGGACCUUGACGCGGCAUGCAAGGAUCCCAGCUGCAGCGACGGAGCUUACAUCGAAUGCGGCGGUGCGGCGUCGAGAUUCUGCUACAUCAAGGCCAUCCCCGCCGACAAGAAAGCCAUACAGCAAAACUUGAAAUGCUUCAAGGAGUGUUUAGCGCAGAAGAAGAAAAGUGAAGACUGCAUCCUCCACAACAAUGAAAAGUGUCCGGCCGCUUGAAAAAUGAAAAUGCAUGCAUGCAUUCCUUCCUUCCUUCCUUCCUUGUACUUGAUGCAGGGUGUUUCCUUCAUUUCAGAGUGCCUCAUUCAUGCAUGUUUGUUUUCACAUGCGCGUGUUUUCAUCUCAUUUUGUUGUUGCUUUUUUUUGUUCAACAUUUAUUUUGUCUGUUUUUUUUUGUUGCGAAAAUAAAAUUCAUUUUGUUGUUGCUCUUCUUGGAGAAGCCAUAAAGAAAGAGUGGUAUAUAAUUUUUAGAUCAUCUCUAACCUCACGUUACAUUUUGCUAGCUAGCUACUCCUAUAGAUGUGUUUGCAUGUUGGCAGAGUUUCUUACCUUGGUGCAUGCGCGAGUGGCACAAAAUCUUCUCUUGCUGCAUGUUUUCUUUGGGGGGUCAGAAG